CGGCACCAAAGGUGCCAAAACCAUUGGCGGCACCAAUGGUGCCAUAUUGAUUGGCGGCACUACUCGUAUUAUAAAUACGAGUUCUGUCCAGCUGAAGGGAGAAAAAUCAAAAGAAAAAGAAGAAGAAGAAGAUGUGCUGCGGAAAAGAAGAGAAAAAGAGAGAAAAAGAAGGUAUUUUUUAAAAAUAAUUGAUUAUAUUGUUGUUAUUAUUUUGUAUAUUUUGUAAUAUUUUUUGUUUUAGUUUAGUUAUUAAGAUUAAUAAAACUCAAAAUAAUAGUAUUAGUUAGUAUUAUUAUUAUUGUUGUUGUUGUUGUUUUUGUUGUUGUUGUUGUUGUUAGUAUUAAGAUGUUAUUAAUGUAUUAAGAUGUAACUUAGUUAUAUUAUUGUUAGCAAAAAACUAGUAUUAUUAUUAUGGUUACUUAUUAUUUUUAUUUACCAAAAUAAACUAGUUAGUAAAAAACUAGUAUUAUUAUAGUUAGUUAGUUAUUAUUUUUAGUAAAAUUAAUAAUUUUAGUGUGUAUUAUUUUGAGUAUAAAAUUGUUAAUAUUAUUAGUGUGUUAGUUAUAAGGAUUAGUGGUUAAACGGUUUUCAUGUACAAAAUUGCAUAUUGAAACAUUAAUUUUUUUUAAGAAAUUUAGUUACCGUUCGAGAGUUUUUAUGAGAUUUUUUUUUUUUUACAGAUUAAAUAUUGAAGAUGGAUGCUAAGCUUCUUGUAUGCGUUUAUUUUGAUGGAGUCAUCUUGACAACAAGUAUUGGAUGUGUAUUUGAAUGUCAACAACAAAUAGCAAUGAGAUUUAAUAGAAAUGUAUCGUUCGAUGAAAUGAAGGCAAUGAUUAAUGCAAAAAUUCAUAGAGUUGUGGGAGAAGGAUAUCAGAAGUAAGCAAUAAUUAAAAUACAAAUAUUAAAUUUAUACAAAAAGUGCAUUAAACCCCUAAAAUUGAUGGUUCGAUGGUGUUAUACGGGGGUAUACCUACGCGGAGGUCGACGCUCACGACCUGGGCGACGACCAACAUCCUCAUCGUCCGCAGGUGGGGGUGUGGAGAACAUAGAGGAAAGGUCCUGUGCCUCGUUCGCUGCCGACGAACUUGAACCGGAAUGAGUCCCAUAAUGCUGCGGAUACGUGUCGGACGGGCUGGGCAUGCCGUACUGCGGCCGAGAGGAUCCAAACAGUUCAAACUCGUAGGCGUAUUCACCCUCUGCGAAGCUCGGAUAAUAUUCACCGCCCACCAAAUCCGGACGAUAGCCAUGUGAAUCUACAUUUGACUGUGAUUGUCCGGGAUCUGGUUGGGGGUCCUGCUCGGGCUCUGCCAGUUGCGGAGAAUAAUAUGCCAUCGGAUCCGGAUCCAUCAGGCUCACUGCAUCCUAUCCCCCAACUUGCUGCACGUACGGGGGGAUUACAGUCGACUGCCCUCCAAGUAAAUAUGGCUUCCCGCAACUAUAAUAUCAUUGUGUAUACUCCAAUGAUGGUUGCAGGUCGGUAGGCAUAACCAUCUGAGGAAUUCGGCGCAAUCGAUCGUUCCACAAUGCGACAAAUUUCCGAUGCUUAAUUCCCCAGUCCAAUUGAACAUUUCCUCUCUUUGUUAAGUCGUGAUCUUCCCCAACUGGCACGGCGGAUCCGGGAUAGGUUGGAUGUAGCCAAACUGCUGAAGCACCCGAUUACCGUGAUACCACUCAACGACGUUGAAAUUUAUAAUUGGUGUGUUAGUGCACCAUAUGUGGGAAUCAACGAGUGCGGAUGAGGGUACAACAUUUGUAAUUUCCGGCCUCCGGUAUGUCAUCCAUAUAAACUGCAUGAGUAAUAACAUUGUAACAAGUUAGACCGAUAACAUGUGAGUAAUAUAUAGAAAUAGAAUAUAUGUCAUGAAUAUUAGAAUAGCAGCUUACCCCUUUCCGGGCAUGCUGUUCAAUCCUGAGGCGGUAUAUCGGAACAUCACACGACUUCCCGAUGCCUAAACGGGUCGUCCACCUACAAAAAAUAGUAUAGGGUUUAGGGUUGGUAACAUUACUCAAUAUAUUAUGACUACAAAUAAUGAAAAUUUAUAUUUUAUCACUUGAGUGGCAGUGGAUACAGAUAGGGUUGGUGACUAAUGCGUGCCAAAAACAGUAUGUGAUAAAGCGCCCAGGACUGCAGCAGUAUGAGGCAUCCGCCGAUGUCUUUAACAUGCGGCUCUGUCGCCCGACAAAGCUCCUGGUACAGCGUUGCUAGAACGGCGGAACCCCAGCUAUACGACCUAGCAGUGGACAAAUCAGUUAACAGGGGCAAGUACGACAAAUGCACACUGUCGCCAUUUGCACCAGGCAUGAGUACUGCCCCUAUCAUAUGCAUGAUUUAUGCUCGAGCAGCGCACAUCAACUCACCUUCAGUGGCAGUCGCUAAUAAUUGUCCAAUUUUGGCUUUUAGGCAUGUAAAUUUUAUACCGGAAAAAUAUUUAUCACCGUCCUCUGGCGACUCUCCUAGGAGUUGAUAGCAAAGUGCAGCCGGAUCGGUGAAUGAAGAUACUCCCGUUACGGGACUCUCGUCAAUUGGGAGCCCAAGCUGCACUGCAACAUCCUCCAAGGUCACCGUGCACUCCCCGCACGGAAAAUGGAAAGUGUGCGUCUCCGGACGCCACCGCUCCACUAGCGCAGAUAAUAAAUUAAAGCGCAAGUCAGAGGACCGGAUCAAUGCUACUAACCCAAAUCCGGCUAGCUCCAGGUACGGCAUCAAUCGUGCAUCCGGAGCUAUCUUUAAAACACUCACACGACCCCUUAAUACUCGGAACGAGUCCUAAUAGUGUUAAAUUACAGAAAAAUAUUACGAUAACAUAAUUUAUUUGUAUAUACUGCGUAUAUCUUUUUUAAAUAAAUAGAACUCCUGAUUAACAAAUAAUAAAUCAUACCGCGUUAUUAGCCGCAUCAGAUAUGUGUCUAAUAUCGCUUCGAAUCAAUCGAGCCAUUGCGAUGCCUGCAAGUUGCAAAAAAAGUUAGUAAAAAAAUCUUAUUUCGGCCAUUUAUUCGUAUUUUUUUCUCCGCAUUUUAUUCCUUUAAAAAAUAUCAUAAUUUCUAAUUUUAUAAUUUUACAUUAUUUCAGUGCAUAAUGUUUGAAAUUUAUUAAUCUAGUGUGUUAUUUAAAUUAAUUUGGUGCAAAAAAAUAACCCUUACCCCUGCCCUUUGCUCGUAUUAUUUUCUCGAUUUUUAUUACUUUAAAUAAAAAUAUAUUAUUCUCCUAUUUUAUUAUUUUAUAUUAUUUCAGUACAUUUUCUUUGAAAUAUUUUGUAUUAAUUAUUUCUGAAUUUUAAAAAAGUUAGUAAUACACUCUUACUCCUGCCAUUUGUUCGUAUUUUUUUCUCCGCAUUUAUUGCUUUAAAAAAUAUCAUAAACUUAGUCUUUUAUAAUUUUACAUUAUUUAAGAGCAUAAUGUUUGAAAUUUAUUAAUUUAGUGUGUUAAGGGGGAAUAAAAGAAAAUAAUAAAUAAGGAGGGAUUAAAAGGUAAUUAGCCACAUAUUGUAGCCGUCUUUUUAUUCCCCUCCAUUACCCUUUUUUUUUCCUCUAUUAUUUUGGUAAAUAAACUUUUUCCCCUGCCCUUUGGUCGUAUUAUUAGUUUCCCGAUUUUUAUUACUUUCAAUAAAAAUAUAUUAUUUUCAUAUUUUAUUGUUUUAUAUUAUUUCAGUACAUUUUGUUUCAAUUAUUUGUAUAAAUUAUUUCUGAAUUUUUUUAAAAAAUUUACUAAUACACUCUUACUUCGGCCAUUUGUUUGUAUUUUUUAUCCGCAUUUUAUUAUUUUAAAAAUAUCGUAAAUUUUUAUUUUAUAAUUUUACAUUAUUUCAAUUUAUUAUGUUUGAAAUUUAUUACAUGUACAUUUUUCGCAUUUUAUUAUUUUCGAUAAAUAUACAAUUUCCGUUUUUUCUUUUCGUAUUUUAUGUUUUCUUAAACAUACUUCUUUGUCAUUUUACUUUUAAUGCUAUUUUCCUAAAAUUUUAAUUUCAAAUUCCUAAGUAAAUUUCAUAAAAAAUUCCCUAAUCAACAUACAAUGUACAUACCAUUAUUUUUUCAUUCUAAAUAUAUUUCAUAAAAUAUAUAUGCUAAAUAAAAUAAUAAAAUAACUAUAAUGUACAUAACAUAAAUUUUAAACACACAAAUAUUACAAAAAAAAUUACCUUUUUUUUCUUUUUUUCCUUCCUUCCCUCUUCUUCUUCUUUUUUUUUUCUCUUCUCCUUUCCUUUUUUUUCCUUCUUUCUUUCUUUUUUCUUCUCCUUUCCUUUUCUUCUUCUUUCUUUCUUUUUUUCUCUUCUCCUUUCCUUUUCUUUCCUUCUUGUUCUUUCUUUCCUCUCCUUCCUUUCUUUCUUUCUUUCUUUCUUUCCCUCUCCUUCUGUCCGCCCCACCAUCGACCCUCCCUUUUUAUGCACUGGUGCUGCCAAUGGUAUUGGCACCAUUGGUGCCGCCAAUGGCAUGGGCACCUUUGGUGCCGCCAAUGCCAUUGGCGUGACCAGUGUCCCAUCACAUCGGUGCAGAUUUUUUUUGCAGGUUUUUUUGUUUUUUUAUAUAUUUUGGUAAAUAAAAAAAAGUAUAACAUUUUGAUUAUUUUUUAUUUUUUUAUAAUAUUUUUGUAAAAAACCCUUGAAGUCAAAAAUAGGUUGUCAAAUAGGGAAGCACAUGCUAACAAUUUUUUUACUCUCUGGAAAGUGAAAUCCCCAAGCAAAUUACCAACCUGAUUCCUUAAAAACAUUUGCUUUGCUGGAAUUAAUUUAGACAACAAUUAAAUGAAUUCUUGAUUUAGCUAAACUCAAAAACUUACGGGGGUUUAAGAAAACUUGGCCCGUUUUCAUCAGUUUAUUGUAUUGUUAUAUGCUGCUGGUGCUGGUGUAAUUCAAGAUUGAAAUAAACAAUUGGCAUUAAUGGAUGGAUCGCCAUCCACAAUAUUGGUUGUAGUUAUGAAACAACAAUGUAGUUCAACAUUUAUUUUAUCAACGAUUUCAUUGGCUAAUUAAAGUUCAGAUCCUAGAGAUUGCAGCUCCUAAACCCAAAAGGAAAAACUAUUGAAUCAAUCAUUUAAUAAAUCACCAUCCUCAACAUGCUUUGAAUCUCGUUAGAUUGUGGUUGUAUGUUAGGUUCAAAAGAAAGUAUUUUUUUAUUACUUUUAAACACAUUUUUAUAUUUUAAAUACGCAAUCUUUGCGGAAAGACUAGUGGGGAAAGCCCAUGUUAUAUUGGCGGCUACCAAGUGGUAUGUUGACUGGACACAAUAAAGAUAUUAAGCUGGAAUGUCCGUGGUUUGGCGCAAAUGCGGACUGUGAGACGUCUCAAAAGUAAGUUGAGACAAGUUCAACCCCAAGUUUUGUUUCUAAUUGAAACAAAAGUAAGUGCGAGACGAAUGAAGAAGAUAAGGCAGAAAUGUGGUUUUAUGAAUGCUAUUGAAGUGGAUGCAGUUAGAACAAGAGGGGGAUUAUCUUUGGCGUGGGUGGAAGUACUGUUGAAUAUUACUUUACAAAGUCCUUUUGGAUCUCAUUGAUGUGGAGGUGGCGGAGGAUGAUGGAGAGAUUAUUUGGAGAUUCACAGGAUUUUAUGGUUCCCCUGUUGAACAAACAAGGAAAGAUUCGUGGAAUUUACCGUGACAGUUGAAUCAAGGAUAUAAUAUGCCAUGGCUAGUGUUAGGGGAUUUCAAUAAGAUCUGUUAUUCAUUUGAAAAACAAGGUGGUCGCCUUAGGAAGGAAAGAUAAAUAAUUGCGUUUAGGGAGGUUUUAGAUGACUGUGAUUUGAGUGAUCUCGGCUUUUCGGGUCAAUGGUUUACCUAAGAGAGGGUUUUGAGGAUCAUUUAAAGAGAUGGUGAGCUACGACAGAUAAAGUGGUGCCGGACAAACUUAAGGAGUUAGAGAUGGAAUUAAGCAGUUGGGCUAAAAAGAUAAAAGUUGAUAGGAAUAAAAGACGGGCGGGUUUGAGUAUGAGGCUUACUGAGUUGAAUAAUAAGGAUCCUUGUGACAAGGUUUUGGUUGAGAUUACUGAUGUGAAACUUGCUUUGAAUAUGGAAGCGGAUAUGGAAGAACUCUUUUGGGAACAGAAGGCAAGGACGAAUUAGAUUCAGCUAGGGGACUGUAAUACCUCAUUUUUUCAUAAAUUCGCUUCUAUUUGACAAAGAAAAAACAAGAUCAACGGGUUGGAAAAUGGGGAUGGGGAUUGGGUCAAUAAUCAGGAUGAUUUGGUUAGAGUCGCAACUGCCUAUUUUAAAGAUUUGUUUUCAUCUAAACCAUGAAGAGAUUGCGAGCAUUUGCUUUCUAGAAUUUCGAUAUGUGUCUCUGCAAUUAAAUUCAUAGCUCUGCUUAAAGCUUUCAGAAAGGAUGGCUUCCUUGCGCUUUUCUAUUAGAAGUUUUGGCACAUGGUAGAGAUUGAAAUUGAGAACUAUUGCCUGGCGAUGUUGAACGAUCAUUAUAAAAUUGAGGAAAUUAAUAGUACGAGCAUCAUUCUCAUUCCAAAAGUUGCUUCAUCAAAGAACAUGGGGUAGUUUAGACCAAUAAGUUUAUGUAAUGUUCUUUAUAAGGUGGUUUCGAAGGUUUUAGUUAAUAGAUUUUAGAAGGUCCUCAAUGGGUGUAUUAAUGAGACACAAGGGGCCUUUGUGGCUGGGCGAUAAAUAUUUGAUAAUAUCUUUGUAGCUUAUGAGAUAUUGCAUUCUCAGAAGAAGAAGAAAAGGGAGUCGACGAGAUCUUUUUCUUUGAAUCUUGACAUGAGUAAGGCCUAUGACUGGGUUGAAUGGAGCUUUCUGAAAAAGGUGAUGGGAUUUAUAGGUUUUUGUAAUGCAUAGACCUCACUUGUUAUGAGAUGCGUGUCCAGUGUGUCGUAUUCGGUAAUAUUGAAUGGGUGUCAAUGCGAGAAUUUUUUAACCUUCUAGAGGUUUACGACAAGGGGAUCCACUUAGCCCUUAUCUAUUUUUUAUUUGCAUUGAAGGGUUCUUAAGGCUGUUGCACAUGGCAAGGGAGGAUGAAAGGCUUCACGGGGUGAAGAUUAGACGUGGUGACUUGAGUGUUGGCCACCUUUUCUUUGCUGAUGAUAGCAUUUUGUUCAGUAAAGCAUCGAUUAAAGGGGCAAAUUUCAUAAAGGCGGUGAUGGAUGAUUAUGAGGCAAUAUCGGGGCAAUUAGUUUAAUAAAUCCCUUAUUUCUUUGGUGGUAAUAUUGAGAAUAUGAUGUGAGAGCAAAUAGGCAGAAUCUUGGGUGUAUGAAUUUCAAAUAAUCCAGAGAGGUAUUUAGGUUUGCCUACAAUUGUGGGUAGGAGGAAGAAGCAGGCUUUUAUGGAUCUUAAGGAGAAACUGACACGAAAAAUUCAAACGUAGAGUAUGCGUUACCUAUCGAUAGGAGGGAAUGAGGUAUUCAUUAAAGCCAUUUUACAAGCCAUCCCAAUUUAUGCUAUGCAAUGUUUCAUGGUUCCUGCUACUCUAUGUCGUGAUUUAGAAAAUCUAAUGUGUAAAUUUUGGUGGCGAAAUUCCAAAUCUGGCAAGGGUAUACAUUGGUGCAAGUGGAGUGUGUUAUGUGCUUCAAGAACACAAGGGGGGCUCGAUUUUAGAUAUCUUAAAUGAUUUAAUAUGGCCCUGCUAGCGAAGCAGGGAUGGAAGCUAAUUACCCAACCUAAUAACUUAUUGUUAGAGUAUGCCCAAAGAUCAAUCAUGAGAUGGUUGUAAUAAGAUACUUGAUUUAUCAUGUUUAUUAAUAUAAGGCGUUACCAUUAUUAUUUCAGUUUCUUUUCCGUGUGUAUAAAUAAACUGUUUUAUAAUAAUGUCCUAAGAAUAAUAUGAUUAUUCUUAAAAGAUCCUUAGUCAAGUAUUAUUGUUGGAUAGGACAGCGAUAAUGCAUUAAGACUAACAUGUAGUUGAUUGAUGAUAAAGAGUUGUCAUUGAUAUGGAAUGUCAGAAUCGAUGCAUGAAUAUGUGUGUUAGAGAACAACAUAUUGGACUGACCCAUUAUGAGUAUGUUUCUUAGAUUAUUAUGUAAUUGUCACGACAUUACUCAUAGUGAUUAAUAUGUAUAUAAUCCUCAGACUUGAGAUCAUCAUAAUCCCAACAUCGUGAGUAAUAUAUUUUGAUACAGUCAAACGUACACCGUAACUGGUUGUUCUAUAAAGGUUGAUGUUGGGUAUACCACAAUCGAUGUAAAGGGAUAUGGUUGGUCGAUAUAGAAUAAGUCUUUCCUACAUAAUGAGAGUAAUAUCUUAGGCCACUUGAUUAAGUGAGACUAGAAAUGCAUGGCCAUGCUUAAAUAAGUUGAUAUGAGAUGUCAUACUUAUUUGUAUAUUGUAGUAUGCUUAAGAUAUCAAGGAACAUGGAAUGGACUAUGCAAGUGUGACUAUUCCAUGACUUGUGUCCAAUCCAGAGAUAAAGGACUUAAGGAUUAUUGCAUAAAAAGUUAAUCAUAAAAAGGUUAUAUCGAAUCAUGAUCUCUUGUGACUUAGGUAGCAAUGAUGCAUUGCUAGAUGCCACUCAUUGUUUGUAACAUUGGAAUCGUUCUAGUAUUACUGCUAACGUUACAGGAACCUACAGGGUCACACCCUAUAGUUGAAAUAAACGGAAUAAACCAUAGUUGGUAUUAUUUUUGGGGAUCGCUUGAACUAAAUUAAUUAUAGAAUUAAUUUAAUUCGACAAUCAAAUUUCCAACACAUUAUGUACAAGGUUAUUGUACGCAUAAUGAGGACAUGAAUUUGGUUAGCAUAUGAAUUCAAAUAAAUAUAUGGUUUACCGAAAUUAUAUUAUAAUUAAUGUAAUUAUAAUUUUCAGUUUAAAAUAUUAUUAUAUUUAUUUAAUUUCUAAAAACCUUAAAAUAAAAUAUAUAUAUAUAUAAGAAUCCUGUUUUUCUUUGUUUUGGGUCUAGCAGCCGUCAAAGAAAAAUUACUCUCAAAACUAUUUUGGGGAUUUCUGCUUUCUUCAGUUCGUAGUCAACUGGGUGGAUUACGUAGAGGUCGGGGUCUCGAUAGAUUGCGGCUUGGUUCGACUGUAGAUCUGACUACACGUUGUUGAGACGUUGUUGUCUACUCAGAACAAACAUUCGGUAAUUUCGUAACCUUUAUCACCCCGAUUCGUUCCUAACACAUGGAUCCUUGGUUAGGAUCGUCGGAUUUUUAUUUUUUCGCUGCGCCAUAGGGGUGCCGGCGAUCUAACACUUAUGUGCACACGUUUUGAGAGCUUAGUAUUUCCAUCGAGAGAACUUUAUGAGUGCACGUUUGGGAGCUUACCCUUUAUAUUCCUGGCGUAGUAUUUGGGGAGCUCGUAAGCUCAUUGAGGCAGGAAUGGGCUGGAGGAUUGGGAAUGGAAUGGCCAUGAACAUCUGGAACGAUGUGUGGGUACCAAGUCUUGGAGAUGGCAAACUUCAGUUUCAGAAUAUUGAUAUUCGGUACACUACUGUUUCAGAUUUAAUUAAUGUAGAUACAUUUACUUGGAAUUGUGAUGCUAUUUGGGAACUGUUUGGUGGUAAUCAGUUGAAGCUAAUCAUGUCAAUCCCUUUGGUGAGCGAUGUACAUACGAAUAAGUUGGUAUGGAGUGGGGACAAAACUGGGGAAUACACAGUGCGUAGCGGCUAUAAAUAGGCUUCUUACAGGAGGUUAUGAGGAAAUGGGGCAGAUUUUACAUCACAUAAUGAGUGUCUAUCUAACUUUUAAUCAAGGUUAUGGAAUUUAAACAUUUCUAGCAAAAUUAAAAUGCAUAUUUGGAAAGUGUCUAAUGAGUUUAUCCCAACGAGAGGGGUUUGAGGUCCAGAACGCUUGGUGUGAACUCUGUGUAUGCAGUCUGUGAAGUGGAAGACGAAUCGAUAGCUCAUACUUUUCGUGAUUGUAGUUUUUCUCAGUAGGUUCUAGAGGGCGCUGGUGUGGCUCGCUCGAUAGGUAACAUGCAAGAGAAUUGGAAACAGUGGUUAGCCCAGGAAUUUAUGAGGAAAGUAUAAUGGAAUGUUGUAAGUUAACUAUAUCGUAUUGGGCACUGUGGUACACUCGUAACAAAGUUUAUCAUAAGGGUAUAAGGGAUUGAGUUAGGAUGUUUCGAGUUUUAUUAAUGCUUACUUACUAGAGCUUGAGCAAUUAAAUAGUCUGUCUACUUCUAUAAAUAUUCCUCGACAAACUGCUUGGGAGCCUCUAGAGGGGAUACUGUUAAAGUAAAAUUUGAUGUCUCAUUCGACCAGCAGUUACAUACUUUAUGUUCAAGAGUCUUAGCAUGAAAUAGAGAGGGUCUGGUCGUGGCUUCAUGUACGUACCUGUAGGAGAACAUUCCGAAUUCAACCAUGGCUGAGGCGAGAGCAUGUCUUAAAGCAGUUUCGUUCGCCAAAGAGUUGGGUUUUAGAUAUGUGUGUGUUGAGGGAGACACCUUUAUUGUCAUCAAGAAGCUAGAAACUGCAAAUGAAGAUAGAUCUAUCAUUGGCACAAUCGUUCAAGAAAUAAGGCAGAAAAUACACAGGUUUAGAAGAUUUCAAGUAGGGUUCGUAACUCGAGGGACAAAUGCGACGGUGCAUGGUUUGGCGAUGGAGCGAAUAAAGUAUGGUUGUCCGAUGUACUAGAUUGAGGAGGUACCGAGGGCGGUGGAGUGGCUUGUUGAUAAAGAUCGGAGUGGGGGAAUGACUGUUCGAUGAAACUGAGUUCGAAUGGUAGUAUCUUGUCUGAUGAACUCUUAUGUUUGUUUUGGAGUUUCGAGCUAUAUAGUUGCUAAUGAAUGUGGUUUGUUGUUUACCCAAGCUUUACUGAUGGUAAGGAGAUGGAGAAAAUAGGGAAAGGAAGGAACUGCUAGGGGAUGAUUCAUUUAUGUUUUUUUUUCAUUUCUUGGUUUAGAUUUCACUUCUGGUUUUAUUAUUUUGUUUUUUUUUCUUUUUUUGUGGUGGUCUCUUGGUCUGCUAGAUUUCUUUAACUCUGUGGGCAUGGUUUAUGAUCCCUAGGUGCCGAAUAGUGGUCUAAUAAUAGGGCUACACGUGGGGCUGGCUGCUAAUGAUUCUUUUUUUUCCUUAAUUAUGAAUGACAUCAAUUAUUUCUUGGUUAAAAAAAAUACGCAAUCUUUACAUGCAUAUAUAUGUAAUAAAAUUUCUAAUUCUAAUAACUUUUCACUCUUUUUAAAUAACCACCCAUCUUUUCAAAAAAUAAUACUACUCAUGUGCAUAAUUACAACUUUCCACGUUUUUAAAAGAACAAAUCUCAAAAUUAUACAUGAACUAUGGUUUAAUGUGUAAUUGUAUAUGUAAACUCUAAUUUGGUGCAAUUUUAUAUAUGAAAUUUUGAUUUGAUCCAAUUCUUGUAAAUUAUUAACAUAAUUAUUGAUAUAACAUCAUUUUAUAUUUAUAUAUUGCAAUAAUACAUAAUUAUAUUUAUCUAAUAUAAAAAUAACUUGAUGUAUUUAUUUUUUAAAUGUGUAUGAUUAAAUCAAAAUUAAAGUUUCAAGUAUACAUUUGAACCACAACUAGAGUUUCACGUAUAUAUUUGCACCAAAUUAAAGUUCAUGUAUAUAAUUGUACAUUAAAUCAAAUUUCAUGUAUAAUUUUGAGAUCUAUCCCAUUUUUAAAAGAUAAUUAUUAACUUAAAAAUUAUUAUUUCAUUUUUAUAAUAUAUAUAUUUUAAAAAAAAUUAUCACCAACAAAGUAGAUCUCAUAAAUUCUAGUAUAAUUUAUGAUUUUCAUUCUAAUUUUUUCCCUCUAAUUAUAUAAAUAGGAAAAAUGUAACAACCCGUUUUCAGUGAAAUUGGAACUGUGGUUUCGGGACCACAAAUCCGAGUUAGAAAGAAAAUUUAUUUUAAUAUUAUUGCAUAGUCUGCAUUAUGAUAGAAAUGACGUAUGAAAAUUUCGUUAAGAAAAUUUUACCAAUUACAUGUUUAAUUGAUAACAGGACCAAAUUGCAUAAAUUGCAAAAGUUGAGUUCUAGUAGUUAUAUGUAGCCAAUAGCUAUAGAAUUCAAAAUUGAGGUCCUUAUAUGGCAAUUAGACCGUUAAAUGGAGUUAUUAGAUAAUUAUGAUGAUUCAUCCAUGGAAAAUUAAAUAAAGAAAAGGACUAAAUUGGAAAUUGAAAUAAUUAAAGAUGAUAAUAAUCUAAUAUCAUCUUAUUUCAUCAUCUUCCCCAAAUCAUUUUAUGGAAACCCUAGCUAAGAGAAAAGAAUUCAAGCAAGCUUAAUUAGGUAAACAUUCUUGUCCCGUUUUUAGUAAUUUUAUAUUUCCGAGAUCGUAAUAACCUAAUCUAGCUAAUUUAGGGAUUAAUUUGCAAAUUUAUCAAAGUAUUAAAAUUUUUCCAUGGAUGCGUAUGCUGAAAUUUUGAAAUUCUUGGUAGAAAAUGAAAUGUUGUAGAUAGAUAAACAACUUUUGUAAAGGAAAUUUCCAUAAAAUUGUGAUUUAUGGACUAAAUUGAAAAGAUGUUAAAUUCAUGAAAAUUUUUUGAUUUUUUUGAAAUGCAUGGACUGUUAUUGUUAGAUGUAAAAAUAGGUUAGGCUUGGAAUAAUGAUUAAAUUGCAUGAAUUUUAUUUUUCGAGCCUAAGGACGAAAUUGGAAUUAAUUAAAAGUAUAGGGGCAAAAUGAUACUUUUGCCUAAGAUGUGAAUUGGGUUGAUUUAAAUAUUAAAUGUAAUAAAUUGAUGAUUAAAUUCAUUUAUAUAGAUCCGAAAAGACCAAAUAAGGAGUUAGAUCGAGGAAAAUAAAAAGUGUCGAAUUAGUAGAUUUUCAUACACGAGCAAGUGUUGAGGUAAGUUCGUGUAACUAAAUUGAGAUUUUAUAUGUGUUAAUUGAAUUGUAUGUAUGUGUUUGUAUUAUUGACAUGUAUAUGAAAUUGAUUGAAUAUUCGAUAAUGUCCAACAAGUAUAAAAUCUCGUAUGAAUAAAUGAAAUUCGAUGGAUACAGGAUUUCCCGUAUUGGUUGUGGUCUUGCAUAUGUUGCAGACACACCAUAGCUCGAAAGAGCGUCCCGUUAUAAGUCCUGUCAAGCUUCCCCGUCUUAAAGUUAUUGCGAGCUUCCUAUUAUAGCUCUUCGAAGCAUCCUGAUAGGUUGUGAUUCUACAUGAGUUGUGGACACACCUUAGCUCUUAUGAGCUUCCCGAUUAUAGGCUCUUCGUGAGCUUCCUAUUAAUUGGCUCUUCGUGAGCUUCCUGAUAUGGCUUGUUUGAACUUCCCAAUAUAUAUAUGGCUAUCCAGAACUUUUCGUUAAUGGCUCUUUGGAGCUACUCGUUAUAGGCUCGCAUGAGUUUCCUAAAUAUAGCUCUUAUGAGCUUCCUGUUAUACAACCCGGAUAAGCUUCCCGUUACAUGGCUCACAUGAGCAUCCUGAUAUAGGACUUGAGCGAGUGCUUCCGGUUUAAAAGCUCGUAUGAGCAUUUUCGGAUAUGCAUUGACGGAUUUCAGUUUUAUGCACUUCAAGUGUACUACUUGUGUAUCCAUCGAUAUUUCAAAUAAAAUUCAACGGACAAAGUUCCGACAUGGAAUAUACGAGCUUGAGAUGAAUUAUUAUUUGGAAAUGUAUAUGUCAUAUGAAUAUGAUAUAGAAAACAUAUAUAUAUGAAAAUUUUUACAUGAUGAGCUCAUCCUUGUGCUAGUUAUUCAUAUGAAAUACAAGACUAACAUUAUUAGUGAAGUUAUGUGUUUAGGGCUUUUAGCCAAAUUUGCUUGGAAGCAAUUUAUAUGUUUAUUUUAGUGAAAAUGAUAGUAAGUUAAUUUUUCGUUAUACGAACUUACUAAGCAUUAUAUGCUUACUUCGUUUUAUUUUCUUUGUUUUAUAGUACUCGAAAGCUCGUAAAUGUUGGAAGUGAGUCGGAGGAAGAUCACACUAUCCUUCAGUUCACUUUGGGAUAAUUAGUAAAAUUUCUUUUGGUAUAAUGGCAUGUAUAGGCUAAGUUAGGUCAAAUGAUGAAAAUUUUUAGUUAUAAUUAGCCAUUGGAAUGGCUAAUGAUGGUAUGUUUGAUGUAUACAUAUACAAAAUUAUACUAUGCUUGGAAUGUGUGUGUUUGAACUGGUUAGAUUGGUAUAAUAGGUAUAAGCAUGCUUAAAUGAACUUAUGAUCAAUUUGGUAGAUUGAAUACUUGAAUUAAUAUGAUGGUAUAAUAAGCAUAAGACUUAGUUCUUGACGUGGAAGGUAAAUUGGGUGAGAAAAGUGGGCUAGAAAAUGGCCUAUUUUUGUCUACACGGGUAGAGACACGGGUGUGUGUCUCAGCUAUGUGUGACACACAGUCAUGCGCGCGUCCGUGUGGUGUGGGCGUGUGUCCCCUGUAUCUUAAAAAUUGAGAAACAGAAUGCUUAAGUAGUUUCACACGGGCAGAGACACGGAUGUGUGUCUUAGCCGUGUGUGACACACGGCUUAGCACACGGGCGUGUGUCUUGGCCGUGUGGCCUCUGUACCUAAUUAUUGAAAAUUAAAUUGUUCACACGGCCUAACACACAGGCGUGUGGUUUGACCGUGUGACCCAAGUCAGAGAGUUACACGGGUAUGGACACGGGUUGGGACACAGCCGUGUGCCUCACAUUGAAUGCCCACACGGCCUAAGACACGGGUGUGUCACUUGGCCGUGUGAGCCACAUGGGCAUGUGUCCCUUGCACCUAGGCAAAAUUUUGAAAUUUCGCGAAAAAUUCUCUGAGUUUCCAGUUUAGUCCCAACUUGAUUCUAACAUGUAUUUUGGGCCUGGAGGGCCCAUUUAAGGGACAAUAUGAUUGAUUAUGUAUGAUUUCGGAUAUGAAUAGUAAAAGAUAUGAGUUAACUGUAUUUGGUCUGAAAACUCCGAUAAUACUCUAUAACCAUGUUCUGACGAUAGAUAUGGGUUAGGGGUGUUACAAAAAAUAUUUGGUACACUAUCAGUGAAAUUUUUAGAUCUCAUAAGUAAGGUCAUGGAUUGACAAGUGUCCUAUAAGGGUAAAGUAAAAUACUAAAAAGAUUAAAUAUUUAAAAAAGAAAGACACAUAUCACUUUUUUAAUGUUGCUUAUUAAAUAAUAAAAUAUAUUAUCAAUAUAUUAAAUACUAACCCAUAUAUUUAAUGUAAACAUACUUUUUCAUAAUAUAAACAUGUUUUCUCAUAAUACAAUUAAUAUAAAAUACUUUUCAAUAAAAAAAUUGUAAUUUAUUAAAUUUUAUUGUUUGCUAAUAAAUUAAACAUUAAUCACUAUAAUUAAGGAUUUAAUUUGUGGUCAAGUCAUAUGUUAUAAGAAUAUGAUGCAAAAAUAUAAUUAUAAGAGAGAAAAAUUAUACUUAAUAAUAUGUUUAAAAAUUCUUUAAAAAGACAAUAUUCUUUUGAACAUCUAAGUCCAAUAAAUAAAUCCAUUUAAAACCUCAAACAAAACUAGUUGCUUUUAAAUUCUAAAUAAAACUUUUAUUAUACUUUUACAUAUUCUUUAAUUAAAUAAAAAAUAAAAAACCCUAAAUUUAAUUUCAGUGUUAGCCUCUCACAAAUUGAUUAUUUACUAUUGUUGUUAAAAUUUCUAAGAAUUCAAGCGUUGAUCUCUUUUUUGCGUACUGUGUUCUUUUUUCGAUUAUUAUUGUAACACCCUUAUACCUGGUUCGACCCAAAGAACCUGAUAUAGAAAUAUUACAUUUUGUGUCAAAGUGACUUUGGCUAAUCACUAAUAAAUUUGGACAUAAAAAAUACAUUUUUUACUAAAUUAAUUCAAUAUUAUCAUUCUCAAUGUUCAGGGACAUUACCGGAUAUUUUACUAUGUCUGGAAAUGUUUAAAAAUAGACUUUUGCACAAAACAGGGGCAAAGUAUCGAUACUUUUCCUUCAUUAUCGGUACCAACCUAAAAAUCGAUAUCAAAAGUGCAUUCUGUUUUGGAAUUUUUCAAAACCAAGCUCUAGGUAUCGAUACCUUACCCUUAGGUAUCGAUACUUUAGGUAAAUUUUUAAACAAAAUACUUGGAAAAAUUGCUAAAGACCCCUUGCAUUGUUUUUAAGUCAUUUCAAAGUUUAAAACCAAUUCAAACAAUCCCAAAUCAACCUUAUUUAACAUAUAUCCUAUCAAUUAUGCAUCUAUGCAUUUAGAUUUUUAAUAAUCAAUGCAAAUAUCAACAAAGUUCUUCUUUAGACUCUAAAAUAAGUAAAAUUUUCAUAACUUAUAUUUUAGUCUCUACUACUUGGAACACAUUUGAUCUUUCUAAUUACAUACCAUUCUAUUCCAAAUUAUGAAACAUAACCUCUUGGCACUUGGAGAUGUGAUGAGAUGGAUGCCCACGACCUCAACUAUGACCCUUCAAAAUCAUUAUACCUACGCGUUGAAAAUAAACGCGUUAAGUCGGUGAAGACUUAGUAAGUACCCAUGAUAUUCAAAUUUUAUUAAAUUACUUAAUUCCCAAUAUCUCGUUUCUUUGUUUAUUUAUUGUCGAAACCAUUUUUUGAAAACAAAAAAUUUAGGUUGUCGACUCUAAAAAAAUGAAAAUUUGGGAGUCGCCACCAAUCUUUUAUUGAGGUGUGAUUGGAUCUCCUAAAAAAAUGGCUUUGGUCUACGAGUUUUAGAAAAACGGAUCCGGGAGUCAGUUACGUACGAGGAAGGAUUAGCACCCUCGUAACGCCCAAAAUUGGUACCUAGUUAAUUAAUUAGUAUCUUAAGGUCGAGAAUUUGGAAAAAAACGUAAUCCUUAGCAAAACUUAAAAGGCUACGUAUUAAGACCCUUAUUAUUUCAGAGAAAGAAGAUACCACACCCAAUGCGUUAGGGCACAACAUUCUAAUUUUCCCCAAAAUGAAUUGGGCCAAAAUACUUGUACAAUAAAACUUUAAAAGAACAUCCACUAAUCCAAGAUUUAAGAAAUCACAGCCAAUACGUUAGUGCACGAUUCCUCUAGAAUCCCAAACUCGGAAUAUUUCCUUUACUUUAAAAGAACAUCCACUUAUCCAAGAUUUAAGAAAUCAUACACAAUACGUUAGGGCACAAUUCCUUUAAAAUCCCAAACUCGGAAUAUUUUCUUUAUUAUUUUUUAAAAAAAUCUUCAUUUCGAGAUAUCAAUGCGUCACAUCCAAUACGUUAGGACACAACGUGUUGAAUUCCCAAUAAUGAGUUUUUAUUUUUUAUUUUUGAUUGAAGAGAAAUGCUCGAUUUUCAGAUUUAACGAAGAAAAUCGGAACCCAAUACGUUAGGGCUCAAUUCCCUUGAAAAUCCUAAAUACGAACAUUAUCUCAAUUUUUUAAAAAAAUUCUAUCUUUAAAUUUGAGUAAAAAAUGAUGUAACAUGAUUUUAUACAUACAAAUGCUAUAAUAAUAACAAUAAUAAAUACAUCAUCGACAUAAAAUAAUAUAAGCAAAUGAAUAAAACGAAAUAAAAAAGGGUAAUCCAUGACAUGCAAAAUAUUAAAUGUAAACACAAUUAUACAAUGGAUGGGAUAGCAAACAAAUAAAUAAGGAUCAAAAGAUGUACACAUGGAAAUUAUGAAGAUUAAAAAUAUACAUAUAAUUUACAAAUAAAAUUUUAGGUUAUAGAAUUUAUAUAUAAAUACAACACAUCAUAUACUUAUGAAAAUAAGGAAAAAAUAAGUAUAUUUUAAAAAAGGAAAAAAAUGUGCGUAUUUAAUCACUUAAAAACGUAAAUAUAUACAUAUAUAUAUGAAAAUAUUCAUUUAAAAAAAAGGAAAAUAUUCGUUUUUAAAAAAUAUAUAUAUGUGUACAUAUAAAAGGAAUAUAUAUAAAUAAAAAAAUUAGAAUAAAAAUAAUAAUUACACUAUUAAUUAAUAAAAUAAAUAAAAAGAACAUAAAAAACUAAAUUGAAUUGCAAUUAAAAAAUCUGGGGUAAAUCCACAAAUAAAUAAAAGUAAAAGGACUAAUUUGAACGUACGAGUUACAUAGAGGGGCUGGAAGGGAAAUUUUCCCUUCUCCUCUAAAAUGGCGUCGUUCAAAAGGAUUAAAUUGGAAUUUAAAAUAAAUAAAAGGGUAAAUUAAGAAAAUAAAAAAAAACUUAAUUACAAAAACAUUAAAAGGCGGAGGGGCUAAAUAAAAAUAGAAUAAAAUUCGCAGUGGUAUCACCUUCUCCUUUUUUUUUAAAAUCGUAAAUAAGUAAAAAAUAAUCGAACGAAAAAAAUAGUAAGCCACAUUUAAAAAACUGCCAAUCGUUCUCUUUUUUUUUAUUAUUUCUCCUCACUCCCUUUUCUCUUUUUUUUAUUACAAUGAAGGGAGAGGCCUCUAUUUAUAGCCGAGCCUCCCCAAAUCCAACUGUACAGAUCAGUUACAUCAACGGCUGAGAUUAAAGGGUAUCUACAAAUUAAAUCUCUAAGAUUACAAAAUCAUAUAUUCUAAGAUUGCAUAUUUCAUAUCUUGGAUUGCAUAUCAUAUCUAAGAUUGCAUAUCCUCAAAAAUUAUGUUUCCAUAUGUGAGCUCGGGCUAAAAUUGGGUAUUACAGCUGCCCCUAUUUGCUCGUUCUUGUGUAACAGGGACGAAGCAAAGACUUUAAAAAUGCCCGAUUUUGUCCGGUCCUGCUGGAUCUUGGUACUCUUCUUCUUUAAGUAGCCUCAUUCCUUCCUACUGCAUCUUCAGAGGUAUAGGAAUUAGUGCUUCAAUCUACUCCACUGCAACUUCAGGGAGAUAAGACUUGCCAUCUUCAGUCUGCCUCACUGCAACUUCAGGAGGAUAAGACUUGCUUCCUUAGUCUGCUCCACUGCAACUUCAGGGAGAUAAGACUAGAUGCGAUCUGCUCUCUGCAACUUCAGAGAGAUAAGAUCUAUGAUUUUAAUCCGCUCUACUGCAACUUCAGGGAGAUAGGAUUAUCGGCUUUAUUCUGCUCCACUGCAACUUCAGGGAGAUAAGAUUUGUCAUUUUCAGUCUGCUUCAUUGUAACUUCAGGAGGAUAAGACUUGCUUACUUAGUCUUGUCUACCGCAACUUUAGGGAGAUAAGACUAGAUGCGAUCUGCUCUCUGUAACUUCAAAGAGAUAAGAUCUGUAAUUUUAAUCCGCUCCACUACAACUUCAGGGAGAUAGGAUUACCGGCUUUAAUCUGCUCUAUUGCAACUUCAGGAAGAUAAGAUUUGCCAUCUUCAGUCUGCCUCACUGUAACUUCAGGAGGAUAAGACUUGCUUACUUAGUCUGCUCCACUGCAACUUCAGGGAGAUAAGACUAGAUGCGAUCUGCUCUCUGUAACUUCAGAGAGAUAAGAUCUGUAAUUUUAAUCCGCUCCACUGUAACUUCAGGGAGAUAGGAUUGUCGGCUUUAAUCUGCUCCACUGCAACUUCAGGAAGAUAAGAUUUGCCAUCUUCAGUCUGCCUCACUGUAACUUUAGAAGGAUAAGACUUGCUUACUUAGUCUGCUCCACUGCAACUUCAAGGAGAUAAGACUAGAUGCGAUCUGCUCUCUGCAACUUCAGAGAGAUAAGAUCUGUGAUUUUAAUCCGCUCCACUGCAACUUCAGGGAGAUAGGAUUGUCGACUUUAAUCUGCUUCCCACUAUCUUGGAAAGAUAUGAUUUGUCGUCUUCGAUCUGCUCCACUACUGCUUAGGGAGAUAAGAUCUACAAUCUUCAACCUACUCCGCUGCUGCUCAGGGAAACAGGGCUUGGUGGCUUAAAUCUGCUUCCCACUAUCUUGGAAAGAUAAGAUUUGUCGUCUUCGAUCUGCUCCACUACUGCUUAGGGAGAGAAGAUCUACAAUUUUCAACCUUCUCUGCUGCUGCUCAGGGAGACAAGGCUUGGUGGCUUAAAUCUGCUUCCCACUAUCUUGGAAAUAUAAGAUUCGUCGUCUUCGAUCUGCUCCACUACUGCUUAGGGAGAUAAGAUCUACAAUUUUCAACCUUCUCAGCUGCUGCUCAGGGAGACAAGGCUUGGUGGCUUAAAUCUGCUUCCCACUAUCUUAGAAAGAUAAGAUUCGCUGUCUUCGAUCUGCUCCACUACUGCUUAGGGAGAUAAGAUCUACAAUCUUCAACCUUCUCCGCUGCUGCACAGGGAGACAAGGCUUGGUGGCUUAAAUCUGCUUCCCACUAUCUUGGAAAGAUAAGAUUCGCCGUCUUCGAUCUGCUUCACUACUGUUUAGGGAGAUAAGAUCUACAAUUUCACUGAUUUGUUCUCUAGGAAACAUGACCUGUAUAAUGAACCUAUAUUAUGCCUAAGAUUAGGAUGGCAUGAUCCAAAUGCGUCAAAUGCUCCUAACUAGACAUGUGCGAAUGAUGUUUGCAUGAAUGUUUUUUUAAGAGAAUGAUCCCACCUGGGUUGUCAUUGUUCGAAGGUUAUUAAGGCUUUAACACUGACGUGCUACAACGCUUUCUUGCUUGGCUGGCUUUUCUGAAGAAAUAUUUAUUCAGGUUGCCCCCACUGUAAACCUCAAAGUUUAAUCCAUUGGGGCGCAAAAAUUCAUACUAUUGUUCUCCCACUGUAACCCAAGGGUAUGUGGCUUUUCUUCAAUCCUCUCCUAUCACAACUCAAGGAUACAGGAUCUAAAUCUUUCUGGUCUCUUACACCAUUCCUAGGGUGUCGUACCAAAGGCUCAUGCAUAAAUGAAGGCUCUCUUCCCUGAGGUAACCUCUUUCUAUUGCUCGGUGAUCAUUACUUUGUCACCCACCUGACGUCUUUUCAUUUUGUUCGAUCAAUGUUUUUUGACAACAAAAUCCAAAGAAAUAGUCUUCAUUUAGACUCUGCCUUCUCAGAUUUCUAACCUUUUUAAAACUUAGUGCGUUCUAAACAAUAGUCCUGUUUCAGGUUCCUGUAUUAUUUAGAAACUUCUAAACUAAUAUGCAAAACCUCCAUUGUGAAAGUUUUAUUAGUCCAUUAAUCAUUAUUCCAAUGCAACAUGUUUGCUAAAAGGGUAUAAUAAUAGAUGAGAAUACAAUUGGUUUUGAACAUAGCUCGAAAGGAAUAAAUUAUCAACAAAAGUAUAUAAGGAUAGCAAAGAAAUUGAUUGGGAAUGUGUAUCUUGGAAAAGAAUGAAGUAUUCCAAGAAUAACAAAUUCAAUAUAAAAAAAUUGGAUGCCCCAGAUAUCGUAGCUUGAACUUCUCUGUACAAACUUUCUGAAGACCCUCCUGAGUUUGACAUGUGUUUGAGAGAUCUACAGUACUCUGUCGAUGCCUCAAGAUGUCGUCUACCCUUUCCUGUUGAUUCAAGUAUAGCAAGAUCAUCAUAUGCCCCAAUCUAAUCAAAAUUUAAACUGCUCUGAUCACCUCAUGCCCCAUUUUGAUUAAUAUUUGAGCCGUCCUUUUUGGGUUUUCAACUCAAAUCCCCUUUGGUCUCAAGGCGUCCUUUGCAGAUUUUCACAUUGGCCUCUCAUUUUACUUUUUCUUUUUUCCUUUUCUUUUUCCUCUUUUUUUUUGAAAUAUUUUUUGAUUGAAUUUGAACUCAUAGGAUUAGGCAUGUCCUUAUUAUCCCUUCUGAUCGACGCUUUUCCAGAUAAGGCCCUCAAUAUAAGGUCCUUCUAAACUUGGAUAAAAUUCUUUUUGUAUGGGAAAGAUCCUCUUCAAUACCAGGUCCCUCUCAAGGAGUUCUCUAGUGCGGACCUUUUUUUGUGAGCUCGCAUCAUUUUCUUUUGGCGCAUUUGACCAUGAUGGAUAACUUUGAACAUUCCUCUUCAAUUAGAUCUUAAAACUCAGAGUGAAAGAAUCUUACCUUCAAUAGGCAAAACCACGAUAGGCCCAAGAGAAAGUCAUUGCCCCGGUAGAGUUCUUUUUUUUUGCUAUCUUUUCUUUGGGCAAUAUAGCAUUAAUCGUGAACAGACUGCAAACUUUUGAUAUUGUGUUGUUGUUCAAAUUUAGUACAUUGUCAGAUAUGAUCCUUUUGGCGUUCUAUAUGAUUCUUCAAGAAUUGACAUACGAAGCAGCUUCCACAUAUUUAGUAAAGUAAUUGACGAUCACAAAGAUGAAUUGAUUACCGUCAGACUCUUUUGGCGAGAUCGACCAAAUGACCUCCAUGCCCCACAUAAGGAGAAGUCAUGUACCCUGAUAAUUCUUUGUAGGGUGAGAUCCAUUUUCUGACUUGUUCUACCAUCCUUAAUAGGUCCAGAAAUAGGCUACGAUCUAUGACAUCUUCAAAGUUAUGAGAUCCCUCUAAACACAUGUCUCGCUCAGAAGGAGAUUCUGAGUCAGUAGCAGCGUCACUCAUGUCAUUGAUAUAUGAGGACCCAUAGUAAUUGCAAAAGAAUAUACAAAAGAAUGUGUGAAUUUACGAAUGAUUAUUUAUACAAUAUAAUUAUGAACGAAAGAACGAUAUGAAAGAAAAUCCAAAAGAAUGAAAGAAUAAUUACUCGCAAAGAAUGAAAACAUAUUGGCUUAAAUGCAAAGAUGUAUGUUAUUAGAAUAAUGAUGUUCAGACAUGAGCCUAUUUCACAAAGGAAUUCCUAUCGUUUUUAGGCUAAAAGCAACAAGAAUGUUCUGAACAUUACUCUAAACAAGCUCUAAAGACUACAGAGAUUUCUUCCACAAUCCAAUUACUUAUAACACUCCCAAAUUUUAUAAGGGCAGACAUCUAACAAGGUCCCUUUUCAAUUGUGUCUCCGUAUGUGAACUCUUCUCAACACCUCUUCAUAUAUUGCAUUCAUACCAUUAUCAAUCAUGAUUGGGUAGCGAAUUUCCUGCAUUAGAUGAGUCAUCCAACUUGACAAUACCCAUGUUGAUGAAUUUUUCAACUAGCUUUUUGAAGGCAAUGCAAUUCUCUAUUGAGUGCCCCGUAAUUCCCGCAUGAUAAUCGCAUUGUGCACCUGUGUCGUACCAUUUGGGAUACGGGGGCUGUGGAGGUUUCACAUGUAAAGGAGCAACAACAUGCGUAUUGAAUAAGCUUUGAUACAGCUCCUUGUACGACAUUAAAAUUGGCGUGAACUGGAGCUUUUCAGUACCUGGCUUCACAUAUGAUUCUUGCUUUAAAGGAACUUGAUGGCUGGUGGUUUCUGUCUUUAACCGGCCCACAAUGAUUGGUCUUGAGUGGCCCUUGUUAUAUCUACCUUCAUUUUUCCCCUUAUUCCCUUUCUUCCUUGAGGCUUUUAUAGUAUCUGGGUGCUCUACCUUCACCUGUUUUAUUUCUGAUGAAUUGUCAAGAGCAACAGGAUUGGAUUUUGAGUUUGUCAGGUGAUAUACUAGUGUCGAUGUACCAGUCAGAUAUUGUCAGGAUCUGAUAGUAAAGAGUGCCUCUUGUGGACAUGCGUCUGGUUGGGCUGGACACUUAUCAAGGUAAAAUCUGAAGAAUAUAUAGGGUCCUCAUUAUCAUCCCUAAAGUGAGCCUCUAGGCUUUUCCCUUUACUCAAUAACUAGGUUAGCUGGCUCAUAUUUAUUUGGAAUUCUGGCAUCUGAUUCCUCAUUUCUUGUUAAAAUUCAGUCAAUUGCUCUUGCAUCUGUAUUUGCAUUUGCUUUAUUCUCUCCAAUCUUUAGUCCAUGCCUUCUAACUUUGCUUGGGUACUAUAAUGGUGUUCGGUUGAUUGGUUGGUUUCCAGAUUAACUGAGGAAUGAUGUAAAUUAAUUAGAAUCUUUUAAUGUUUUUAAAUGCAUAUGAAGUAAUGCAAUGCAUGAAUGCAAAAAGACGUCAAUUUUGAUUCAAUUCCAUAUAAGAAAACCUUACUAGAAAGCAAAUUUUUUUACAUAAAGCGAAUUACAAGUAAGACUUUGCCCUAGUACCCAGAACUCUGAUCUUCCUAAGUAACAAAACUAAUUCUUGCCCCCGAUCCGAUUCUAAUUCAUACUUCAUACUCAGCAUGUCAGCCUGUACUGCUAAAAUCUGUACGUAAUCAGCUACUUCUCGAAUCUAGACUACAGCUUCCUUCAUAAGAUAAUCUCUGCUCCUAACUUGACUCUGAAAAUGGUGGAGCUGUUCAUUAUUACUACUUUCGUUUGCGUUCAAGUGCUUGAUCUGGAUCUCACAAUUUUGCAGAACCGUUUCUAGCUCUUCCAAGGAAUGCACUUGUUGUCCCUCUUUUGCUUAACUGGUGCAGCGACCCACUACUCACUCAUCCCUGUUAUACCUAUCAGCUUCUUUGAAAAGGUUGGCACAUUUACCGUUCUCGAGUAAACUCUAUCCACUUGAAACUUUGAACAUCGGAGUAAAGCCACAUAUUUUUCUAUCGUAGGUACCAAAUCGACAUUCCCAAAUGUGAAGCAAUUGUAAGCAGGAUUCCAAAACUGGGCGAGGGCUCGAAACAAAUGUUUGUCUACCUUCACAUCAAGCAAAUAAGGCAAGUCCCCAUAAUUGUCGUAAAAUAACUGCCUAGCCUCAUUAUUCCAUUGAUUCCAAAUUUCUUUCAACUCCUGCAAAUUGUUUUGAGUUACACUGAUGCGAGUAAAAUCUCAUAAUUCCGAUACAUACCCAUCGGCCAGGCUAUCACCCUUUUCUUGCUGUGUUGUUUCAGACCAAGUUCGGACAGCCGCAUUGUCCUCCACUUUAUCAAGAAACCCUUUUUCCAUGUCAAGCUUUCUAUCUAGCAACCGAAUCUGAACUGUCGCCUUUUAUGAUGAAAUGAAAUGCCAUGUCAUGUCAUGUCAUGCAAACAAAAUAAAACACAAAAGGUCAGUGUCAUAUAAUAAUAUAAAAUAUAAUCAAGAAACAGUAAAACACCUAAUCGGAUGUCUACUAGGGUUCAGUAUAGUUCUACCUAGGGUGGAUUCCUAAGGUUCAUUAUAUGAAGUUUUGCUUCUAGGGUAAAGGUACCCGAACCAGCAGAUUCCUCCAUCCUCACCCAUUAUAGGCUCAUAUGGAUCGAGUUCGGUUCAGGGGAAUUCAUUUCCCUAUGGCUGCACGGAGAUGAAAAUCUCACGAAGACAUAGGUACGGAUGUAUCCUGGAAGCAAUCCACAACCCUACACGGAGGUGAAAACCUCACGAAGGCAUAGCUUCUCACUCCCACUUAAAAGGGUAAAAAUGUUCAACUCAUGAAAUGCAUAAUGCAAACAAUAUUUAAGGAAUAUGAUAAUGAAUGCGAAAUGAUGUUAUGAUUUUUUUAAAAAAAUAUUUUUCUCGACCGUAAGACAAAAAUUAAUCAACUUUGUGGCUCGACUCUCUUCUUUUUUUUAAAAAAAAUCUCCCUAGUGGAGUCGCCAAGCUGUCGAAACCAUUUUUUUGAAAACAAAAAAUUUAGGUUGUCGACUCUAAAAAAAUGAAAAUUUGGGAGUCGCCACCAAUCUUUUAUUGAGGUGUGAUUGGAUCACCUAAAAAAAUGGCUUUGGUAUACGAGUUUUAGAAAAACGGAUCCGGGAAUCAGUUACAUACGAGGAAGGAUUAGCACCCUCGUAACGCCCAAAAUUGGUACCUAGUUAAUUAAUUAGUAUCUUAAGGUCGAGAAUUUGGAGAAAAUGUAAUCCUUAGCAAAACUUAAAAGGCUACGUAUUAAGACCCUUAUUAUUUUAGAGAAAGAAGAUACCACACCCAAUUCGUUAGGGCGCAGCAUUCUAAUUUUCCCCAAAAUGAAUUGGGCCAAAAUACUUGUACAAUAAAACUUUAAAAGAACAUCCACUCAUCCAAGAUUUAAGAAAUCACACCCAAUACGUUAGGGCACGAUUCCUCUAGAAUCCCGAACUCGGAAUAUUUCCUUUACUUUAAAAGAACAUCCACUUAUCCAAGAUUUAAGAAAUCACACCCAAUACGUUAAGGCACAAUUCUUAUAAAAUCUCAAACUCGGAAUAUUUCCUUUAUUAUUUUUUAAAAAAAAUCUUCAUUUCGAGAAAUCAGUGCGUCACAUCCAAUACGUUAGGACACAACUUGUUGAAUUCCCAAUAAUGAGUUUUUAUUUUGUUUGAUUGAAGAGAAAUGCUCGAUUGUCAGAUUUAACGAAGAAAAUCGGAACCCAAUACAUUAUGGCUCAAUUCCCUUGAAAAUCCUAAAUACGAACAUUAUCUCAAUUUAAAAAAAAAUUCUAUCUUUAAAUUUCAGUAAAAAAUGAUGUAACGUGAUUUUAUACAUACAAAUGCUAUAAUAAUAAUAACAACAAUAAAUACAUCAUCGACAUAAAAAUAAUAUAAGCAAAUGAAUAAAACGAAAUAAAAAAAGGGUAAUCCAUGACAUGCAAAAUAUUAAAUGUAAACACAAUUAUACAAUGGAUGAGAUAGCAAACAAAUAAAUAAGGAUCAAAAGAUGUACACAUAGAAAUUAUGAAGAUUAAAAAUAUACAUAUAAUUUACAAAUAAAAUUUUUAAUUUAUAUAUAAAUACAACACAUAAUAUACUUAUGAAAAUAAGGAAAAAAAAUAAGUAUAUUUUAAAAAAGGAAAAAAAGGUGCGUAUUUAAUCACUUAAAAACGUAAAUAUAUACAUAUAUAUAUGAAAAUAUUCAUUUUAAAAAAAGGAAAAUAUUCGUUUUUAAAAAAUAUAUAUAUGUGUACAUAUAAAAGGAAUAUAUAUAAAUAAAAAAUUAGAAUAAAAAUAAUAAUUACACUAUUAAUUAAUAAAAUAAAUAAAAAGAACAUAAAAAAACUAAAUUGAAUUGCAAUUAAAAAAUCUGAGGUAAAUCCACAAAUAAAUAAAAGUAAAAGGACUAAUUUGAACGCGCGAGUUAAAAUUGGAAUUUUAAAUAAAUAAAAGGGUAAAUUAAAAAAAUAAAAAAAACUUAAUUACAAAAACAUUAAAAGGCGGAGGGGCUAAAUAAAAAUAGAAUAAAAUUCGCAGUGGUAUCACCUUCUCCUUGUUUUUUAAAAUCGUAAAUAAGUAAAAAAUAAUCGAACGAAAAAAAUAGUAAGCCACCUUUAAAAAACUGCCGAUCGUUCUCUUUUUUUUUUAUUUCUCCUCCCUCCUUUUUCUCUUUUUUUUAUUACAAUGAAGGGAGAUGCCUCUAUUUAUAGCUGAGCCUCCCCAAAUCCAACGGUACAGAUCAGUUACAUCAACGGCUGAGAUUAAAGGGUAUCUACAAAUUAAAUCUCUAAGAUUACAAAAUGAUAUAUUCUAAGAUUGCAUAUCAUAUCUAAGAUUAUAUAUCAUCUCUAAGAUUGCAUAUCAUAUCUAAGAUUGCAUAUAUCAUAUCUUGGAUUGCAUAUCAUAUCUAAGAUUGCAUAUCCUCAAAAAUUAUGUUUCCAUAUGUGAGCCCGGGCUAAAAUUGGGUAUUACAUUUAUCAUAUUACAUCUCAAUUUCUUAUUAUCAUAUUCAUUUGUAACUUUUUACUUAUUUCACAAUUUAGUCCUUAAGUCCUCAAAUCAACCUAUAAAAAGUACUACUCUUUUUAAUACAUGUAUCAUAUUUCACCAUUUAGUGUAAAUUUUCAUAAUUCCAUCACUAUUUCUUCCACCCUUUUUUUUACAUUUUUAACUUACUAGUCAUUGUCUUUCUUAUACUCCCUCAAAUACAUUCAAUUUACUUAUGUCUUCACUUUACUAGUUCAAUAUUUCGAACAUUAAUCGGAGAUAAACCUUUACCUUGUAACGAAAAUUGUUUACCUUUUUAGAGAGGCCCAGUAGACUAAAUAGAACUAUUAGGAUAUACGAAACUGAUACAGAGGUGCACUAAAGUGCACUAAUAGAACAAUAGGCACCAAAGUGCAAAGUAGUAGGCACUGAAGUGCGGAACGAUAAACACCGAAGUGCGAAACGGUAAGCGUUAAAGAGCAAGACAAUAAGCGCGCUAAAAUUUCCUUAAUGGCAUGACAUCUAUAUCCCAAUAGUUCUAAUCUCAUCUACUUGGGCAAAUUAUAUCAUGCACACAUAUCACUUUAACACUUUUACAUAACACAUUUAUAUUUUUUUACAAUUUAGUCCUUGUAACAACAAUCCAUAUACUUAUAUCUUCCACUAUCUUUAAUACAUGUAAUAUAUCUCUAAAUUCAAUAUUCAUCUAUAAUUAACUAAUAAUCCUUAUCAUGUAUUUCACAUAUCACUUUUAUAUAUUUUGUAAUUUAGUCAUUAGCACAAUAUUUCAUGUAACAAUAUAUUUUACUUUUAAUAACACAUAUAACGUAAUUCAAUACUUAUUAAUAUUCCAAAAUUCACUACAACAUCAUUUUUUUUCUCAUUCUAAGUGUUAUGCACUUCACUUCUCUAUUUCUAAUAUAAUUUUUUUCAAAUUUACGAUUUAACCCUUAAUUUCCACAACUUAGGAAAUAAUUGUAGUUUGGAUUACAAAAUUCAUAUAUUAUUUUUUUACUAUGUGCUUUAUUAUCAAUAUUUUCUUGCAAACCUUUAUAAUUUUCCAAUUUUGUAACACCCCUUACCCGUAUUCAACACUAGAAUAGGGUACGAGGCAUUACCAGAACACAAACGCUUGUAAACGUAUUUAACCGUAUUAUAAAAUUUCAUCUAAAUUAAAACUUUCAAAUUUUUUUAACAUGCUUUUAUAAUUCUUCACAAUAUAUCCUCAAAAUAUUAUAUUCAUAAUAAAUAGGGCUUACGAGACCCGAUACAUACCUAUGCAAUUCAAUGCGUCAUUUCCAUUUCAUUCAGUUCACAAUUUCUCAUGCUCACAAUUCAAAUCAUAUCACUAGCAAUUUCUAUUUAAUUCACGUACAAUUCAAUAUUAGUAAGUUCAAUACUAAUACGUAUUUACCAUUUUACUUAACGUUUUUCGAUUAUACCAUUCAUUAACACAUUUAUGAAAUUCUCAAUUUUGCAAUGAAAAUAUCACUUUAUCUUAAAUAACAACAUCAAUUCAACUCAUCAUCCCCUUUUUCGUCAUUUUUCACUUCAAAUAUGAACUUACUAUUUCAUUACCUUUCCACACCCAUUUCCUAUGCAUAUCACAUAAGACAUAAACAUAUCGUUCAACCAUAGUCGCAAGCUAGUACAUUUAAGCAUAAUUCUUUUUGGAACUAACCACAUGAUAAACCAUUUCACUAGAGAUUACAUAAUUUAAACCUUACCACCCCUGUCAUGAUCACAAGCAUAUUCCCAUUUAGGCACUUACCAUUUCAAUGCAUAACUUAUAAGCUUAACGUGGCAUAAUCCAACCACAACUUGGUCAAAGCCUAAGCAUGUACAUCAAAUAUGUUAACCAAAUAAACAUAUAGCAUAAGCAUUAUGAGCAUGGAUGAGCACAACAUUUAUUAAUGUAUCAAACUUACCAACAUGUGUUAAUUCAUAAACCAUUCAUGACACUACUUCAAGCUAAAUCAUAUUCCAAAUAUACCAUACACACAUACUAUGAAACUUUAUUUUCCCACAUGAGCUUAAAUCAUGACCAAUAAUGCGCAAAUAUAAGCAUUAUUUCUAUUUCAUCGUUUAUCAAUUAUAAUCGAGCAUAUUACCAAUUAUACACAAAUCAUUCAUAUAUUUCCCAAUUUUCCUCCUCCUCCUUUCCAUUCCACAUCCUUAAUGUGUAUAACACACUUAAACAACAUUAUCCAUACUUUCACUAUUUUUUUGUAUGUAAAUUCAAACUAUCUGUCUGAGUCUGAGUCACUAAUUUAUUUAUAUCUCGAGCUACCGAUCUCCAAAUUAAGAUCCGUUAAUUUUUCCUGAAACUACACUCAUAUACUUCUUACCAUAAAAUUUUUAUAAUUUUUUUUCUUAGCCAAUAAAUAUAUUUUAUUCUUUAAAAUUUCCCUUGUUUCACUGCUCGAUAGUUUUGACAUUUCUUCACUAAAAAUUAAUUAUUUCAUAGUACAGAAUUCAGAUAAUAUUCUCGUUUGUUUCUUUUGAAAAUAGACUCAUUCAUAAUUCUAAAAAUAUAAAUUUUAUCCCAUAAUUAUUUUUUUAAAAUUUUUAAUUAUUUUCCAAAGUCAGAAUAGGGGAUUCCAAAAUCAUUCUAGCUCUAUCUCACUAAAAUUCAAAUAUCUCAUAAUACAAAACUCGUUUGCUUUCUAUAUAUAUUUUAUGUGAAAAUAGACUUCUUCAGAUUUAAUUUCAUAUCUUAUUCACUCUCUAAUUAGAUUUCCACCAUUUUUGGUGAUUUUUCAAAGUCACACAACUGAUGCUGUCCAAAACUGUUUUGUUGCUAAAUUUACUCUUUCAUAAUUUCACUUACUCCAUUGCAUCUUACCGAUGGUUUGAUCAAAUAUCGAGCACAUUUUUCAUAAAUUUUCACACUUAUACCUACAAUCAUUCAUCACAUAGUCAUAUUUAAUUACAAUUAGUCGUUACUUGAUCUCAUGUAUUUUCACUUAGUCAAUUUCCCGAUAAACACUUUGGAAUAAUAACAGAUACAUGGUGGAUCAGCACAUAGCACCACCCUUAUAGUCAAUGAUACUCGGUGGAUUCAGCACAUAGCAACCACCUUCAUAAUCAAUAGUACCAGGUGGAAUCAACACACAACAACCACAUUUAUAAUCAAUGGUACCCGGUACACGUAGUAGCCUGCAUAUAGUACUACACACGUGACCAUUACUAUCUCUUUCACAUAGUGUUCGGCACACAGCCCGUGCCACACAUGUGAUCAUUAUUUUCACUUCAUUCGUAUAUUUUCUAUUCCGGAGGUUCAACUGGGAAAUUUCUCACUUUUAAUAACACAUUUAACUUACUUAACACUCACAUUAUUCAAUUUAGUCCAAAAAUCACAUUUUUGCCAAAAAUACAUUUUUCCCCUAAAGUUUCACAAAAUUACAAUUUUGCCCCUAGGCUCGUAAAAUAAUUUUUAUUCAAUUUCCUUGCAUUUUAGUCCUAGACAAACCAUUUUAAUAACUAUAUCAGUCUACAAUUCUCACUUAUUCGCACACUUGUGACAUAUUUUAUAACUUUUACAAAUUAACUCUUUUAGGCAUUUUCAUCGGAAAUCACUUAGUAAAAGACAUUCAUCACACUCCAAACAUUCAUAUUCUUCCAUAAAACAUCAAAAUACAUGCAUAUCAUUCAUAGAUAAAUUUUUAAACACAAACCCUAGUUCAAAAUAAUGGUAAAACUAGGUAAAUCUUGUUACGAGGAUUUCAAAAACGUAAAAAUCAUUAAAAAAAGGGCUAGAACAGACUUAUAAUCGAAAUGAGAUAACCAUGAGUUGAGAGAUGUGAAAACGUAGAAUAAAAUGAAAGUUUAUAUGGUGAUAAGCCCAUCCGUGUUUGCUUGGCGUGCAUUUGAUGUUAUGUGCUCAACAUAUUUGAUUAAGUAAAUAUGGUAAGCAAAUAUACACAAAUAGAUGGAAUGUGUGUUUAUGUGCACUUGCUUGAAUAAGUGUAAUCAGUAUAUUUAUAUGAUAGAAUCUUAUGUCUAAUUUUUAAAUUAGAAAUAAUAUGGUGUUUUGUUUUAUGUCUUUAUUGUUGAACCAUGAAUAUUAUAAUAGUAUGAAAAUUGAAUUGGAAGAUCAAAUUGAGUAGAACGCGGGAAUGAGUACUUUUGUUUAGUGAUAUGUGAUGAAUUGACAGAAAAUAUCAUGGUUUGACCAUUGCAACAUGUAAAAAUGUGAUUAUGUGUUUCCGUGUAAGACCAUAGCUGGGCUAUGGCUUCGGUGUGUGAUAUGUGGCGAUGUGUAAGACCAUAGUUAUACUAUGGCAAUGUGAAAACAAAAUACUCAAUUUUGUAAGACGUUCUCUAAUUUGACAAAUAUCGGUAAGUAAAAUGGAAGCCAAGUAUUGGAAUUUAAUUAGAUAUUAAUAUUGAGCUCGAGCAAGUAAAUCCAUUGUGUGAAAUUGUGGGUGAAAGAAAAUAAUGGUAAAAAUAGGUAAAUCUUGUUACGAAGAUUUCAAAAACGUAAAAAAUUAUUAAAAACGAGGCUAGAACGGACUUACAAUCGAACUUGGAAGCUUGAAAAACUCUAGCCAUGGUUUCUCCAUGCAAUUUUCGGCCUAGGGGUUGAAGAUGGACAAAAAUUGGCUUUUAAUUUUGUUUUUAAUUCAUUUUAAUAACUAAAUGACCAAAAUGCCCUUAAUGAAAAACUUUGGAAACAUGCCUAACCAUGUCCAUUUUUGUCCACCAACUUAACCAAUGGUCUAAUUACCAUAUAAGGACCUCCAAUUUAAAAUUUCAUAACUAUUGGACCAUGAAUAUUAUAAUAGUAUGAAAAUUGAAUUGGAAGAUCAAAUUGAGUAGAACGCAGUAAUGAGUAUUUUCGUUUAGUGAUAUGUGAUGAAUUGACGGAAAAGACCAUGGUUUGACCAUGGCAACAUGUAAAAAUGUGAUUAUGUGUUUUCGUGUAAGACCAUAGCUGGGCUAUGGCUUCGAUGUGUGAUAUGUGGCGAUGUGCAAGACCAUAGUUAUACUAUGGCAAUGUAAAAACAAAGUACUCAAUUUUGUAAGACGUUCUCUAAUUUGACAAAUAUUGGUAAGUAAAAUGGAAGCCUAGUAUUGGAAUUUAAUUAGAUAUUAAUAUUGAGCUCGAGUAAGUAAAUCCAUUGUGUGAAAUUGUAGGUGACAGAAAACAUUCGUAAGAAAUAGAUGUGUUAAUUUGCUUGGAAUGAACUAUGUGGUUAUGAUGGUAUUACAUUGAUAAUCAAUGCUAAGUCAUAUAUAUAUAUGUAUUUAUGUGAGUAAGUCAGAUGCUUUACGACCUCACCAUCACCCUCCUUAUCAGUAUUGCUUUAUGAUGAAAUUUUUAUGAGAAUCAUGUUGAAUAAGCUCAUAAAUGUGAACUGAAGAGUUCAGUGGUCAAAUAAUUAGUAAAGUAAACAGAGUUAAGUAUAGUGUAACAAAUGAACUUGGUAAAAAUAGGUAAAUCUUGUUAUAAGGAUUUCAAAAAUGUAAAAAUCAUUAAAAAAUAAGCUAGAACGGACUUACAAUCGAACUUGGAAUCUUGAAAAACCCUAGCCAUGGUUUCUCCAUGCAAUUUUCGGCCUAGGGGUUGAAGAUGGACAAAAAUUGGCUUUUAAUUUUGUUUUUAAUUCAUUUUAAUAACUAAAUGACCAAAAUGCCCUUAAUGACAAACUUUGAAAACAUGCCUAACUAUAUCCAUUUUUGCCCACCAACUUAACCUAUGGUCUAAUUACCAUAUAAGGACCUCCAAUUUAAAAUUUCAUAACAAUUGGACACCUCUAACAUGUAGAUCUUAACUUUUAUACUUUUUACAAUUUAAUCAUUUUGACUAAAUUGAGUGCCCAAACGUUAAAAUUUUCAAACGAAAUUUUCACGAAAUCAUUUUGUGAAAUAGUAGACCAUAAAAAUAUAAUAAAAAUAAAUUUUAUUCUCGUCAGAUUUGUGGUCCCGAAACCACUGUUAUGACUAGGCCUAAAAUCGGGCUGUUACAACUCUCUCCCCUUUAGGGAUUUUCGUCCUCGAAAAUCUUACCAGAAGAAAUUACUUCCAACUCUCAUAAAACACUUCACUAACUUUCCAAAAUCACUAAUCAAUUUAAUCUUGUAUGUCUCUUUUCAAUAAAUAUAUCUCUAAGGAUAAAAGAAUAUAUAUAUAUAGAAUAUCCAAAAAAGAUCAUCGUGUUCAUUUCGAUUAUAAUUGUCACACACAGGCAUCUUUACCACUUAAUUAUCAUUUCUCUAACUAAUUCUAUUAUCACGAAUCUCACAUUAUUCCAUUCACUAAUAAAAAUCAAUUCAGAAGAAUUUUCAGUUAAUACAUGCAUUCUUUAGGUAUCAUACCUGAAUAUUUUGUCUCAUCAAAUUUAACUUCUUCUUUAACAGUGGCAUUACAUAAUAUGUAUAAUCUUUAAAAUAAUCUGAUAUUUCUUUUAAAACUGAGUUCAUUUGUUACACUAUACUCAACUCUGUUUACAUUACUAAUUAUUUGACCACUGAACUCUUCAGUUCACAUUUAUGAGUUAUUCAACAUGAUUCUCGUAAAAAUUUCAUCAUAAAGCAAUACUGAUAAAGGGUGAUGGUGAGGUCGUAAAGCCUCUGACUUACUCACAUAAAUACAUAUAUAUAUAUGACUUAGCAUUCAUUAUCAAUGUAAUACCAUCAUAACCACACAGUUCAUUCCAAACAAAUUAACACAUCUAUUUAUUACGAAUGUUUUAUGUCACCCACAAUUUCACACAAUGGAUUUACUUAUUCGAGCUCAAUAUUAAUAUCUAAUUAAAUUCCAAUACUUGGCUUCCAUUUUACUUACCGAUAUUUGUCAAAUUAGAAAACAUCUUACACAAUUGAGUACUUCGUUUUCAUAUUGCCAUAGUAUAACUAUGGUCUUGCACAUCGCCACAUAUCACACACCGAAGCCAUAGCCCAGCUAUGGUCUUACAUGAAAACACAUAAUCACAUUUUUACAUGUUGCCAUGAUCAAACCAUGGUCUUUUUCGUCAAUUUAUCACAUAUCACUGAACAAAAGUACUCAUUCCUGCGUUCUACUCAAUUUGAUCUUCCAAUUCAAUUUUCAUACUAUUAUAAUAUUCAUGGUUCAAUAAUAAAGAUAUAAAACAAAACACCAUAUUAUUUCUAAUUUAACAAUUAGACAUAAGAUUCUAUCAUAUAAAUAUACUGAUUACACUUAUUCAAGCAAGUGUACAUAAACACACAUUCCAUCUAUUUGUGUAUAUUUGCUUACCAUAUUUACUUAAUCAAAUAUGUUGAGCACAUAACAUCAAAUGCAUGCCAAGCAAACAGGGAUGGGCUUAUCACCAUAUAAACUUUCAUUUUAUUCUACGUUUUCACAUCUCUCAACUCACAGUUAUCUCAUUUCGUACAUUAAAACAUACUUAUCAUGAACUUCUAUUCAUACCUUUCUAAAUUUCAUUUAUUCAAUAACACAUUUCAAUCGCCUCAAUAUAAAUUUUCAGCAUUAUUGGAAACAAUUCGGUUAGAAGUCAUCUCUGUCUUAACAAAUCAAUUUCAUUAGAGCCGAAAAAUAUUACACUAUCACGAGUAAUAAUAUGACAUGUAUAGCUAAACUCACAUACGCUAUGUUAGUCCGAGAACCGACUAAACCAUAGCUCUGAUACCACUAAAUAUAACACCCCUUACCCGUAUUCGACACCCGAAGAGGGUACGAGGCAUUACUAGAACACAAACGCUUGUAAACGUAUUUAACCGUGUUAUAAAAUUUCAUCUAAAUUAAAACUUUCAAAUUUUUUUAACAUGCUUUUAUAAUUCUUCACAAUAUAUCCUCAAAAUAUUAUAUUCAUAAUAAAUAGGGCCUACGAGACCCGAGACAUACCUAUGCAAUUCAAUGCUUCAUUUACAUUUCAUUCAGUUCACAAUUUCUCAUGCUCACAAUUCAAAUCAUAUCACUAGCAAUUUCCAUUUAAUUCACGUACAAUUCAAUAUUAGUAAGUUCAAUACUAAUACGUAUUUACUAUUUAACUCAACUUUUUUUUGUCAUGGUCAAACCAUUACUAUCUCUUUCACAUAGUGAUCAUUAUUGUCACUUCACUCGUAUCUUUUCUAUUCCGGAGGUUUAACCGGGAAAUUUCUCACUUUUUUUUCACUGAUCAAAGUCGAUUUCUCGUCUUUCUUGAUUUAUAAUAACACAUUUAACUUACUUAACACUCACAUUAUUCAAUUUAGUCCAAACAUCACAUUUUGGCAAAAAUGUAGUUUCACAAAAUUACAAUUUUGGCGUGCAUUUGAUGUUAUGUGCUCAACAUAUUUAAUUAAGUAAAUAUGGUAAGCAAAUAUACACAAAUAGAUGGAAUGUGUGUUUAUGUACACUUGCUUGAACAAGUGUAAUCAGUAUAUUUAUAUGAUAGAAUCUUAUGUCUAAUUGUUAAAUUAGAAAUAAUAUGGUGUUUUAUUUUAUGUCUUUAUUAUUGAACCAUGAAUAUUAUAAUAGUAUGAAAUUUGAAUUGGAAGAUCAAAUUGAGUAGAACACAGGAAUGAGUACUUUCGUUUAGUGAUAUAUGAUGAAUUGACGGAAAAGACCAUGGUUUGACCAUGACAACAUGUAAAAAUGUGAUUAUGUGUUUCUGUGUAAGACCAUAGCUGGGCUAUGGCUUCGGUGUGUGAUAUGUGGCGAUGUGUAAGACCACAGUUAUACUAUGGCAAUGUGAAAACGAAGUACUCAAUUCUGUAAGACGUUCUCUAAUUUGACAAAUACCGGUAAGUAAAAUGGACGCCAAGUAUUGGAAUUUAAUUAGAUAUUAAUAUUGAGCUCAAGUAAGUAAAUCCAUUGUGUGAAAUUGUGGGUGACAGAAAAUAAUGGUAAAAAUAGGUAAAUCUUGUUACGAGGAUUUCAAAAACGUAAAAAAUUAUUAAAAACGAGGCUAGAACGGACUUACAAUCGAACUUGGAGGCUUGAAAACCCCUAGCCAUGGUUUCUUCAUGCAAUUUUUGGCCUAGGGGUUGAAGAUGGACAAAAAUUGGCUUUUAAUUUUGUUUUUAAUUCAUUUUAAUAACUAAAUGACCAAAAUGCCCUUAAUGAAAAACUUUGGAAACAUGCCUAACCAUGUCCAUUUUUGUCCACCAACUUAACAAAUGGUCUAAUUACCAUAUAAGGACCUCCAAUUUAAAACUUCAUAACAAUUGGACACCUCUAACAUGUAGAUCUCAAAUUUUUCACUUUUUACAAUUUAGUCCUUUUGACUAAAUUGAGUGCUCAAACAUCGAAAUUUUCGAACGAAAUUUUCACGAAAUCAUUUUGUGAAAUCUGAGAUCAUAAAAUUAUAAUAAAAAUAAAUUUUAUCCUCAUCGAAUUUGUGUUCCCGAAACCACUGUUCCGACUAGGCCCAAAAUCGGGCUGUUACAAAUUUAAUCACCUUUUAUGAUAAAAGUUGUCUAUUCAUUAUUAAAUAAAAUUUUUUUCACAUCUCACUUAUUUCACACAAUUAAUUACACUAUCUCAUUUUCCACAUUAAAUUUCUAUGUAUUUCACUUGUAUUAUUUCCACCACAUGUAUUUCUCAAGUCCUUUAAUUUAAUCCUUGUUUCCAUAAAAUUUCACAUUUUCCCAUAAUUUUACUUAUCUAAUACUUUGUAUAUAUAUAUUUGCUAUUACAUAACCCAACUAUUAUUCUUUUAUUAUAAUUUUCUACUUCACAUAAUAAAUUAUUUCACACUAUUUUUUUACUUAAUUACUACUUAGCUUACAAAGAUCACAUUUUAAUCCUUAAAUAACAAGGAAGUUCAUGGGUACUUACCUCUUUUCCAUCAAAAUCUCUUGUUUUGCUCUUCUCUUACCACUUGAUUCACUUACUCAACUUCUCUCUUCAUCAACAUGUCAAAAACACAAUAUUUUCUCAAGAGAAAUCUUUACUUUAACACCAUUUUUAUGCUUUUCUAUCACUACUAAACUUAAAAAUAACAUAAAACCUUAACAUCCAUACCUUAUUCUCUUGAAACCAAACUUUAACUUGACUUCCUCUCUCCUCCAACUUCUAUUUUUUGAAUCUAACUUUAUAUUCUAGCUCCCCAUAAUCUCCUUAUUAUUUUUCUCUCUUGGUGGCUAUGGAAAUUCUUUUGAUUUCUAAGUGAAAAUGGUAAAUUUUUUGUGAAAGGACCAAAUUGUAAAGAAAAUAUUUUUUCUUUCUUUUCUGCUUCUCAUGUUGGAAGCAUGAAAAGAUGAAGAGAAUUCUCUAUCUUUCUUUCCUUAUAUAAUAAGUAAAAAUUAAUAAAAUAUAAAUAAAUGUCAAAUCAAAAUAUUAAUAAACUAAUAUUUAUUUAAUUAAUCUAAAAUAUCACCAACAUCAUCAUUACUCUUCAAAAUAUCUUUCUUGUUAAAUGAUCAUUUUGCCCCUUAUGAUCCUUCAAAAUUCCUCCAUUGAAUCAUCACUCAUUUUAGUAAAAUUACGAUUUAACCCCCUCAUACUUUUUCCACUUAUUCAAUUCGGUUCUAAUUCAUCCAGAUUCCUUAGUUUCUAGAUCCUUCCACCCUUAAAAUAUUUUCACUAUUGGUCCUUCAACUUUUCCAUAUUUACACUUCAACCUCUCAAACUUUGAGUAUUUACUCUUGGGCCACAAAAAUUUUCUCACUUUUUCAAUUUAGUCAUUUCUUAAAUUAAUACAUCAUAAUAUAUUUCUUAAACAGAUUUUGUUGACAUAACUCAAAAUUUCUCUUUUUUCCACUUUAUUUCAUUAUUUUACUGUACCAAAGACAAUAUCUCACUUUCUUACUGUAGUAACUUUCGGGGUGUUACAAUUAUUGUUGUUUAAAUUUCAAAAAUUUUGAUUAUCAUUAUUAACAUUUUCAAGUUGGAGUUUUUUUGUUGUCAUUACACAUUAAUGCCUUAUUUGGUUACUAGUGUAAUAAUAUGAGAAAAAAACUUAGUUAUUAGAUAUGUAUUUCUAAGGUAGAACUUGCUCGGAAGGGAAUAGAACAUGAUUCAGUCUGUGGGGUUUGUGGUCAAGAUUCUGAAGAUGUACUUUAUGCUACUAGAGAUUGUUCUGUUGCGAGAAAUGUUUGGGACCACUUAAUUCCAACCGAAUGGUGUUUUAGGUUUUAUGCAAGAAAUCUUCAAGAAUGGCUUGUUCUAAAUUUGCAAAAUCAACAUAAUUGGCAUUUGGGAGGUGCUGACUGGCAAUGUCUAUUUGGGAUCAUCGCUUGGCGCUUGUGGAAGAACCGCAAUAUUUUCAUUUUUCAAGGUACUUCAUGGACCAAUAGUGAAAUUAUCAAAGUGGCAAAUAGUUGGGCUAAACAAUACUUUUCUUCUAAAGGGAGUAAGGCAAAUGACUCACAAGGUAAGUUUCCACUUCUAUUUUUAAAUAAUGACUAUGUCCUUUUGAGUACAGAUGGAUCCGUUUUGGAGAAAGCCGGAUUUGCAGCGGUAGGAGGUAUAGUACAUGAUCGAGGUGGAGCUUGGAUUCUUGGAUUCAAUAAAUAUUUGUGGAAUUGUUCUAUAUUUGAAGUUGAGCUGUGGGGUAUUCUAGAAGGUUUAUCUCUGCUCGUGGAGUUGGGAUAUGAUAGCGUAUUGAUCCAUUUUGAUUGCUUGGAAGCCAUUACAACUAUUCUAGAGGGAUCUUCUGAAGGGUCCAAUUCUGUUUUGGUUCGAAGAAUUUAUCAAAUACUGUUGUGGUUUAAAUAUUGGAACAUUAGAUAAAUUUCUACGGGGGAAAAUCAGGAAGCUAACCAUUUGAGCAAAAUGGCCUAACAUAGAGAUUAUGGGUUAUGUCUGUUUUUGACCUCUCCUUUAGAAUGGUUGGUCUAGUUAUUGUAAUAUGUUUUUAUUUUUACUUUUUUACCAAAAGAGAGAGAGUAAAGAAUAGUUAGUACAAAUUUAAAUUUGAAACUAGAAAUAUGAGUAAAAACUAUUGUUAAAAAUAAAAAAUCUUCAAAAUAAGCAAAAAAAAUUCCCUUUUUUUUUUUGCUAAAAAUAAGUCAUAGGAAUGACUAAGAAAUGUUUGAAGCUUUCUUUGUUUCUUAAGUUAUGAAGGAUGUCAAGAAGAAGAAAUGUUUUCAUAUUUUAUAUUAUGAUUAUAACUUACGUAAUUAUAUUUUUAUCUUAAUUAAUCAAAAUAUAACAUUACGUCUACUAUUUCUUAUUUUUGCAUGGUCUAUUUGCUAUUUUGAACCUUUAAUUAAUUGCAAUUUAAGUCUCCAAGUCAUUUCCUAAUAAAAAUCUAUAGCGAUUGAACUUUAUAAUUUAAUCCCUUAACCUCAAUUAAACACAAUUUUGACUAAAUUAACUAUUCAAAUUUCUUUUCAUCUAUAUAUUAACUUUAUAAAUAUCUUUAUUCAAUAUUUACAAAUUCGAUUUAUGAAAACAAUACAAAGAACUAUAUUUUUUGGCCAAGAGAUGAUUUUCUUUUCUUUUCUUAAACGAAGAGAAUAGUUUUCCUCGGUAAAGAAAGGCUGACAUUGUGAUAUUGAAUCAUGGGAAAAAGGAGAAACCCAAGUUUAUUGAUUCCAUCAUUAAUCCUAUUAUCAUUCUCAAAUUGUCAAAUUUAAAGCUACAACCACCCUACCAGCCUACUACACAUGCGGUCUUCACCAUUCGUUUGGGGGAAUUCUUUAUUAAGCUGCAUGAAACAAGCCAUGAAAUAUUUAUCUAUCUGUCUAUAUAUAAAAUACAUACUAAAAAGAGUGGAACAGCUGGAUCCAAAUCCAAUAGGGGCUCUCUUUUCAAGGCCGUAGAAGCCAUCAAUUUUAUAAGCAAUAGCAGGCAAGGGAAAAGAAGGGUAAUGGGUGGGAGGUCAAUGCUUGCUUGGAGUUAGAUAUGGAAAUUGGAGCUCUGCAAACCGGUCUAAUAUAAGCUACAAUCCAAAAUUUAAAUGAUUUGGCAUUGAACUCUUUUACAAACAUUUGCAAUCAAAGUGAGAAUGCUGGAAAUCGCUAACUUCUUUAGUUGUUUUCACUCAAAUAUGAACAUAAAUGGUGGUGAAUAGGGUAGCCAAAAGUGGGUUACUAAAAGUAAUUGUAACUUUCCUUCAAGAGCACUAAGAAUCAUUUAUUGCAAUUAUUGCCUCUAAGGUCAUACUUAUCCAUUGUCUAGGCUCUAGACCCUAUCGCUAAACUUGCAUAAUAUUUCAAAUGAAUGGUAAUGAAUUUCUAAUUAAAUGACAAAGGUUGAAGACUAUUUGAUGCUCUUUUUCCGAUGUGAAAUACUCCUUUGACCCCAAUAAUGUUUGCUUCCUUAAAAACAUGUAUGACAGCAAUUACAUAGUACUAUAUGUGUAUACAUCUCCAAUUAGCUUAUACUCGAAAAGAAAAUAAUUCAAAACUUACUAGGCAAUUCCACUUUAGUCGGACCAACUCACGAGAAGCUUUGGGUGUAAUGUAAUGUAAUGUAAGGACCACCAACUUGUAUGAAAUGAUGGCAGCUUUAGAUUGCUUGUUUGUUGGCCAUGCAUGCCCCAUGCUCCAUCCAAUUAGAGCAACCCCCCUCCCCCUUCUGAAUCCAAACCUGUGUACUGUUUUAUCCCCUUGUUUUUCACACGCAUGCCUAUUUUUUAAUCAAUAUAAUAAACCUAGUUUCUUCUCCCACCCCCAUCUUCAAUUCUUCCACUUCAUCAUGAUUAGUUUACUAGGCUUUUGAUUCUUCCAGGCUGUCCUCUAAUUAGUAGUUAUAGAGUUAGCUUGAUUACUAUGAACCUUUGAAAUUUGAAUCCAAAUGUGGGUAAUCAACAUAUCAUUUAAUUCCUCAUUAAUGAAUCUUUGCAAUUGGACGUUGGUAGCUUGAGACUUUACUAAAGCUAAGCUAGCUUCAGGUCAAACCAGACCAACCUUUGAGGUUCAACUUUUACAAUAAAUCAUCUCUCGCUUCAUAUUUUCAAGCUUCCCAACCAACUUUUUGUUAUAAUUAAUGGUAUCCCAUUUCUUUUUAUUUUUUUAAAUAAAAUUUUACUUUGAAUUUGAUGUAGUUUAAUCAGACUUGGAUGGUGGGAAGGUCUGAGAUUCAUUAAAUCAAAAGGUACCACAAAAGCAAUUACAAGCUUUAAAAUGGUUACAACUUACAACUGGGCGCAUACAUAUACUACCACUAUUCUCCAUUCCAACCAUUCCUUAGGUUUACAGCUCGUUGAGUUAGAAUGAUAAGCCGAAAAUAUUCAAAAGAAAAAAGAAAUUAUUUAAAAGUGUUCAGGAACUCAAAUCAAAUGAAUAAUUUAAAUUAAUAUGUAUCAUUAGUUUAUCUUUAUUGUUUCUUAUCUCUAAGGGUAAUUUUGAAUAUUGAAUAUUGCUUAUAAAAAAAAUUAAUUGAAGAAAAAAGAACUAAUAUAAAAUACAGAGUGUAUCAAAUAAAUUCAAGGUAACACCACAUUUCAUUCCCUUUGAACUUUGAAGAUACUUGAUUUCACCAUCAAUCCAUUGAAUGCAUAUAUUGUUUUCAAUCAUAAACAUACCUCUUUGCUCUCCUUAAUUACAAUUCCUUUUCUUUGUUGGAACCAACCUUAGAGUUUUCACAAGCUAUUUACACGUAUGACGAGUGAAACAUAAAUAGUGAGGCUUGGGCACUUGUGUUGUGGGAGUUGUGACAUCUUUCCAAUCCAAAACCAACCAAUGCGACCCCAGCUAGCAGUGAUGAUGAGAUCCUACAGUUAAAAAAAUUUGGAGAAUGAUGUGUCAUUUUCAGCACCAUCCUCAUGAAUCUGAAAAAUCAAACUUUUGGGACCAUAUCUUUCAUUUUCAUUUAACAAAACAUGACAAAAGAAUUUGCCCAAUGCCACAAACUCCGAAACAACACUCGCCAAAUCAUACGUCAUGUUUGAGUAGGGAGAAUCUCAGAUGUACCCAGAAAAACAAGCACCAUAUUAAUACACUCGUAAUAAAUUUAUAAAUGAAACUGGCUGAAAAUUGGGUGUUAGCAUAGGGGUUAUAUAAUGAUGGGUGGUAGAGUUAUAAAUAUGCAAGCCCACAGCUGUAAAGAGUGGUCGUCCCUAAAACACUCAAUUCCAUCAUCGUCAGAGGACGGUACGAUACAAGGGUGGACUUAAUGGUGAACCGCGUGGAGUUUGUUUUGGUUUAGUGAAAGCACACAGCAUUUGGCUUAAUUAACCAUUUGUCGUCAAUCUUCACCAUGCUUUCUUCCUGUUUCCGCGUAUCAAUGCCCUUUCCCACCUUAAUAUUCAAAACUAAUGGGGCGGUCCCUAUUAGACCUGUGGAUUUGAAUAGGAGUAAUUCUCAGAUAAAUUUUGGACAUUAUUUUGAAAUUAAAUCAUUCCAACUUUCUGUUUAUUCAAUUAUUUAGAUUGAAUUAUAUUGUUAAAUUUAUCAAUAUAAUUAUAUUUAUUAUGCAUGUAAACUUUUAAAUCGAUCCAAUACUUUUAUAAUAUCAAUCUAAAUAUUGAAUUUUUUAUUUUAAAUUUACAUUAAAUGAAUAAAUAUAUAACUAUUUUUGUUUUUCCACCUCAAUGAAAUACAUUUUUAAGAUGAAUGAGAUUCAUUUAACUUUUUUAUUCUAUUUUUAAUCAAAUUGCAUUACAUUUUGUCUUUCUUUAAGAAUUAACGUACGCAACAAUUCUAGGUUGCUAACGAACAUUUAUAAUUAAAUAAAAGCAAAAGAUGUAUAGUAUGAUUGAAUCUUGUGUAAAAUUCGUUUUUGACCCAAAUAGGGGUAAAAUUGUAACACGACCCUCACUUGGGCAAACGGGCAACGUAAUGAAACACUAGAGCUCUCGUCUUUUUAAGCUAAUCACAUCCACAAUGAGGAUCCAUUCUACCAAUGAUUUCACUAACAAGUCCCUCCCAUUUUUACAUAUUUACAUUUAUACCACCCUCAUCUCUAUUCAGGGAUAGAACUCAACACAGCCUUGAACUUCCCUCUCCCUACUCUCCCUCUCUUCUCCCCGCCGUUCCCACCACCAGCACCGGCGGCGGGUGAAACCUUCCGGCGAGGAGACCCUUCAGAAAACGCGAAAGGGGUAACCGCCUUACUCCCGCGCCUGCAUUUUUCAGAGGCGGUGGUUUUCAUCAAAGCGGAGCUGGCUUUGACGGCCAAUGCAGCCAUUUCCUCAGCUUGUAAAGGAUGGUUGAGCCAACUCAAGGGCAAAGCGAAGUAAAGUUGACCGGGUUGAAGCUCCUCGUCUUCCUCGAUGGCGGAUACGAAGUCAUCGAAGUCCAUCUCAUCGGCGUUGCAGAUGAAACACAUGGGAUUCUUCUGCAAAACGUAAGAAGCCUUGACGGGGUAAGGAAACUCUUGUAACCGCCCAUCAUGGAGAAUCAGCUUGGCAGUUGCUACGUGAGUCGAAUCGCAAGAACUACAAAUACCCAUUUUCUAUUUUCAGAUUUGUGGAUUUCAACGUCGAAGCUGUCGAUUUUUUUUGGAAUAGAAAGCUUUUUUGAAAAUGUUGGUGUUGGAGAGCUGGGGGAAGUUUAUAAUAUAUAUAUAGAGGAAGGAUGAAAGGAGAGAUGUCUCGGAUUUUGGACCAGGUAGCCACGUAGGAUUUUGUCGUGACGUAGUAAUAAACAUAUUUAUGGGAACAGGAACAGUAGGCAGGGUUGCCAGGCUGUAAGUUAGUGGUGACAGGUUGUAUAAGGAGUGAGGAUGUGGGUCUGAACACAUCAACCCUGGUUUCGAGAUGAUAUUACGUUGACAGGGACUGCUGAGCUUUUUACAGUUCCAUGGGAUGAUUUCACUGCUAAGUGCAAACAUAAUGCAUUUAAUAAAAACGGUAACCAUACCAAUCAAGGAGUUUAACAUGUCUUUGCUUUAUGUUAUCAUAUUUCACUGUUUACCAUUGGUUUUAAAUAAUGCUUUUUAAGUUAGCAAGGUUACUGUAUAGGUUUUCAAGUUUUGAAAUUGAGAAAAAGUGUUUCUCAAGUUCAGUUUCUUUUACCUUUCGCUUUUUCUUUUGAAUUAAAUUAUUCAUUUAUCAUCUUCUUUUUCUUUUUUGAAAUUUAUUUAAAAUACUAUAUUUAUAUGCAGGUUAAAUUUUAUAAAAAGAACGUGUAUAUUUAUUUUUAUAUUAUACUUCUAUUAAUUUUAUUUAUAGAAUCUAAAAAUUCUACUAAUAGUCUCAAAAAAAAUUUAACUGUAAUGUGGGUGAGUUGGCAACUCAAACAUUCAAGGAAAAUACUUAAAAGUAAUGGGUAUUAAUAUGUUGUUUACAUUUCUUUUAUUCACACAUUGAGUAUAUUAUACUUAAAACGCCAACUGAAUUAUGAAAUAAUAAUACUUUUUCACUAAAUUAUAUUAUUAAAACACCAUAACUAAUGACACCUAAGUUUUUAAUAAAUAUACUUUUACAUGAUUCUGUAUGCACAUUUACAAUUAUUAUAAAAAUAAUAUAAUAAGAAAGAGGAAGGGGUAUGUUAUAUGGGGAAAAAAAGGGGCGAGAUAAAAUAGGACAUUCAUUCUAUAAAAGGUCACUAAAAAUAAGAGGAAGGUAAAUAGAUGGAAAAGGAAGGGUAUAAUGGAGAAGUAGAGAGAAACGUGGCAAUUGAAAAUCAACCCAAGGAAGCUAGGGGUGCAACUGUGCAGGGCAAAGCAAAAGACACGUGGAACAGAAGGGCCUUGGGAAUAGUAAACUCGCAGCAUUCCGACAAGACAUGGCGUAAGCUCAUCUGGUUUUGCUGCUGCUCCCUCCCUGUUUCCUGCUGCCCCGCCCUUUUUCUAAUAGUUAUUAUUUCCCCAUAUAGCCCAUGUAUUAUUAUCUUAAAUUCUAAAUCUACAUAACGCAACAUGAAAGCAUGGACAAUGUCGGGACUUUCUUCUACUCGUAUAUUUUAUAUAUUAGGUCUUGUAGGGUUUGCAUGUGCAUGAGUGAUGGAGUGAGAAUACAAUUUUUGAGCCUCCCUUCCUUCCAUGUUUCGUGAGUUGAUUAAUGCCACUAGGUAAAAAUCUAUGGUUUUAUGACUUAAAUGUUAGUUCUAGCUAGUGGCGAUUGAAACAAACAACUUGGUCAUUCUUUGAACUGAAUUAGACAAGGGUAUACUAUUAAUUGGUUUUGCUUUUUUGUUCCCAUAGAAUACAAUGCAUGAUUUUAGUUGUUAUCAUUUAUCAAUCUAGUUCCGUACGUGCAUGGUUUUCAAUUGUUAAAAAGCAAGGAAUUAUUGGUAAUAAUCGAGGAAUGAGCAACGUUUCCCACUACGAUUAAUCCUUUGCAUGAAGCUUCAGAGGAUUGGGGUACCUAUUUCUCCCCCAUUCCAUCCACCCUAGCUAUAGCUACUUGAAAAAGAAAAACCCAAUUUUUUAAUCACAAAAAAAUGGCCUCACAUGAAUGCUGUUCAUUUCUUUAAUCUCCCUUUGUUUCUCUUAUUUCAUUGGAUGCCCUCCAUAUUCCCUCUUUUGACUUUCAUCACUUUUGAAACCCAAUCUUCACCCCCCUUUUUUUUUAUUGCGUUUUAAUUUUGUUGUUAGUUUCGGUAUUGUUAUGAAUUUUAUCAAUUUUAGUUAUAUAAUUUCAAUCCUCAAGUUUGAUUUUUUAAAUCAAAUUUUAUUAUUAAUCCUAUAUUAUAGGUAAGUUGUGAAUUUAGUCAUUAUUUUCUAUUUUAAUUCCUUCAAUUUAGUUAUUUUUAGUCCUUAUAUUAUAAGUAAGAUGACGAUGUAUUUUUGUAAAUAUUAUGUGAAAAUAACAAGCUAACAAUAUUAUAUUACACAUGCAAUAUAAUAUUAUUGAGUAAUAUUUUUCUCAUAUCCCAUUGAGAUGAAUGUUGGGGGUAUUUAUACAUCCUCUUACCGUUACUAUUAUAGUUCAUAAUUGGGUCCACUAUUUUGUCUUGACCUUGGGGCCUCCGGUACUAACAUUCUCUGCCUCUAGUGUUGACAUUCUCUGCACGCUCCUUGGCUUGCUGGACGCUUGUCUAUGUAAUACGCGGUCCUUUCUAAUCCUAGGAUUGACAUCCUUAGCAAGCUUCGUACCCGUUGGUCACAAGUCUAGAUUACUUGUAGGGCUUGCAAUCCUUCCUGCAAACAUAGUUCGUGACCCCAUCCUGCGAGGUGCGCCCUUGAACUCUUCUUGUGAGCUAUCUUGGCGAACACGCCUCUUCCGAGUCGAGCCCACCCGAGUCAAGGGUUGGAGACCCGGAUCUUUUUAGGACAUUUGGGUUGGCAAUUAUGGAUAUAUAAUAAAUAUGUUUGUCGAAUAAUAUUUUAGAAAUAAAAGAAUUUAAAUUAACAAAUUUAAUGGAUACCAUUUGAUUUAAAAUUGAAAUUUCAAAAAUAUAAAAAUUAAAAAUGACCAAAUUAUAAGAACUAAAUUUGAAAUACUAACAAUCAAUAUAUUCUUUGAAUGGAGAAAUCAUUUUUCUACCAAUUGAAUUGGUGAACAUUAUUUGAUUUAUUUAUGUUAAUCCAAUAAAAUUAGGGAAAUUAUUUGGUAAAUUAUUAAUGGAGCUUUUAGAUCUAAUAAAUAGAGAUUAAGGGUUUGAUAAAUAUUCUAUAAGAGUAUAUUAAAAUAUUAAAAAAUAAAUAUUUAAAAAAGAAGAAACACUUCUCAAAAUUUCAGAACUACUUAUAAAAUAAAAAAAAAAUACACCAUCAAUAUAUCAAAUAUUGGCUUAUAAAAUUAUAUUAAUUAUAAAUUACAAGGUAGACCUAGAAGAUAGAUAUCCCUAGAAAACAUAAAAUAAACCACUAUUAAUAAAACUCAUAAAAUAGGGUGAACUUAAAAUGCUUGUCAACAUAUAGGUUUGGAAUCUUGUAAAGCUAAAUUACAUAUAGAUUUGAGGUUACUUAGUUGGGCUAUCAUGGAUAAGUAGAAGAAUUUGAACAAUUUAUCUAGCAAACUUUUUUUAUUUUUUGAAGAACACUUGGUUAAAACCUAAACUAUAGUUGUUAUUUUGUAUUUUUAUGAGAUGACCAGUCAAAACCCAAAUAAUGCAAAACCAUAUAAAUUCAACAAAUAAGGAGAAUGGGCAUAAAAAUAUUGAACAAUCCACAAGGAUUUGAUCUGUAAAAUUAUGUUAAACAUGUUUCUGCUUAAUCCUGGAUUAUAUGGGCAAAAAUAGUUGGCAAAAGAAGAAAUUAAACCCCACCAACCGGCAUAAACACAUUACAAUAUUCAUAAUAAUGUGGUCUAAACACCCUCUUAAAAUAAAUCUGUCUAACUACAUGUAUUUUAUUUGUCUUAAUCACCUAGCUCUUGUAGGUUUUAGAAUGGGAUUUCAACUUUGAUUCAAUCAUGGUUCAUAAAUAAUAAAGGUAGCCAUUGGCACUGCCAUGAAAGUUCCUCCCUUUUGUCUACACUUGAAACUUGUUUAUUUAUGUGGCCCUUAAGGGGUCUGAUAUCUUGCAUGGUCAAAAUCUCAGAUCAUGCCCUAUCCAAAUAAAAUUAUUGGUUUUGAAUGGAUUCAUUGUAUACCGAAGGAUCAAUUUUUUUUUUAAAUGACAAUGAUGAAUGCGACAUAAGAACUUUUGUUUUGUGUUAUACAUUCAUGUUUUUGGUUCAUGUCCUGUCUAAUCCGUACUAGUACCCAAGAUUUUAUAUAUAAUUGGAUAACAUUACAUUACAAGUAUCUUAUUAUCUAUAUAUGCCAAUAUAUUUUUAUAAAAAAAUAAAAUAAAAUUACCAAUAUAUUCAUAUCUAAAACAAAAAUGAAAGUUGUUGUUAAUAUAGACAUUAAGGGUGUAUUUAGUAUUACUUCUAAGAAUCAUUGUUGGGAUAAAAAAACACUUUUGAGACCAAAACAUUUCUAAACAAGUUACUUUUUCAGAGAAAAAAUGUUUUUCCCAAGCAAGAAAUUGGCUCAUAAGCACUUUUUUGAUAACCUGAAAAUUUUAGCUUCUUCCUAAAAUUAAUUUUUUCCUCAAAAAAAUACUUUUGAGAAGUAUUAAUAAACUAAGUCUUAAGUAUGGGCAUGUAUGUCGCGCCAAAUAAGUGUAAUUAUUUGUAUAGGAUUCUUUUUCAUUAGCUAAAAACAUUGUCUAAUAUGAUUACAUAAAAAUAUUUGAAAUGGUAAUUUCCCAUACAAUACAAAAUUAGUAAAGGUAUCUAUAAUAAAGUUUUGAUUUGUAUGGAUAGGUGAUUAAAGUUUUUAUGAGACACUCGUUUGAUACAGAUUCAAAUCGUGUGACACUCGUUUGAUAUUUAAUAAAUUUUUGAAGGUAACAUAAAAAUUUUAAUAAACAUGGAAAAAAUAACAAUAUAAUACAAUUUUUGAAGGUAAUAACAUAGUAUAUUUAAACAUUAUAAGCAAUGAUGGUUAUUUUUUUAAAGUUACAACAACUAAUUAACGUAUCAACGGCUCCAAUCAAAAUAAAUCAUUACAAAUACUGAAAUGAAUAUUUGGCUCAAACUAACUACUCAAGUAAACUAAUUAACUAACCCACACAUAAUUCUUGCAUGGUAAGACUUAAAUCUAAGCGCUCAAAAUCCGAGUGCCACCAAUACUAAUUAAUUAAUACAAAUAUUGUAUCUCUAUCUAAAUUUUUGGUGUGUAUUAUCAAAAAAAAAUUGCAUACAUACAAAUUCUCAUGUCUAUAUGAAAAGUAUAUCCCAAUCGAAUUAAAUAGUUGAUAUUGAAAUGUAGAAAAAUAACUUAAUUGAAUGUGUGAUGAGUAGCGGAAUUGAAGGGUAAGUGUGUACAAAGUAGAAAUAUCCCAAAAUUUACGUGACAUUUUCUUUUCGAUGGAAUGUAAUGCUUUGGCCUAAUUUAUUAGAUUAGGAAGAAAAGAAAGUUGAAGAGGAAGAAAUUUAACCCCACCAACCGGCAAAAAUACAUCUCAAUUAAUUAAUUUGUCUAAAUUAAUCACCCUAAAAUAAAACAUCUUAUCCUAAUAAUUUUCAAAGAAAUUCAUGAAAGUGAAAGGCUUUAAAAAAUCAAUACUAGGAGCACUUAUACGUAGGGUUAGUUUUAUUAAAACUCCUCAGAUUAUAGUUCAUAUUCUAAAUUCAUCUUUAAAUUUCAAGUGUUUUAUUUGAGUUAUUAAUAUAUCAAAGUAUUGUAUCAAUUCUAUCCUUAUUAGCCUAAACCCACAAAUUUGCACCUAAAUUAUACCUUUUUUUCCAUCUUGAUACUUAAACAUUUUUUUUGUCAAAAAUAGUACCUAAAUUAUUAUUUUUUUCGCAAAUUAGUACCUCCGUUAGUCAAACUAUUAAGUUUAUAUUUAAAAAAAAAACAAUUUAACCCAUAAAUUAGUACCUAGACAAUACAAUUUUUCUCAAGUUGGUACCUAAACUUUUUUUUUAAUCUUAACUGAUAUAUUCGUUAAAAAAAUUCUAGUUAAUAAUAGACUGCCACGUCAUAUAAACUUUAAAAAAAUAAUUUUUAAUAAUUUUAUUUUAUUUUACAUUCUCUCUCUCUCUCAUACUCGAAAUUUGCCCUCCCAAAGUUGAGACAUUGGCAAUUAAUUUGUUUUUGAACUUCACCACUAUUUACUUGACUUGAUGUAUUUGAAAAAGUUCUUUCAUUGAUCAAACUAGUAUUUUCAAAAUUGAAUCGUACUAGUUGGACCAAGAACCUGAUGGGUAUCAAUCUGGAGCUAAGAUUGAAUCAAUUGACUUGCAAAUUGAUAUAAACCGAUUGAACCGAGCUAAAAACCGGUUGAAUUGAUUUUCUUUAUAUUUAAAUAUGAUUUAUUUUUAUAAUUUUUUAAUAAUUUAUUUUAUUGAAUCACACGAAUUGAUCAAAUUGAGAAUUGUUGGCUUUGACUGAUUCGACCAUCGAUCCUAUUCUAAAAACCUUGAUUAAAACCAUGAAGCCCAAAAUACUCACACUUGUAGAAGAAAUAUAAGAUGAGAGGAAGAAGAAAGAAAAAAUAUAAAAAAUAUAAAGUGAAAAGAAAUAUAUAUAUAUAAAGAAAAUAUUUUUUUUCCUUUUUUUACCACGUGAUAAUUUUUAAUUGGUUAUCUCUUUUUUUUAAAUUGACUUAACAAUUAAGCUAACGAAUAUACAACUUGAGAAAAAAAAAUUAGGUACCAUUUAUGAAAAAAAAAUAGGUAUUUAAAUGAGAAAAAAAACAAUUUAGAUACCAUUUGUAGGUCAAGAUUUUUUAAGAUAAACUUAACGGUUGGACUAAUGGAAGUAUCAACUGAGGAAAAAAAAUAUAAUUUAGAGAUCACUUAAACAAAAAAAAAUUAAAUAUCACUUAUAACAAAAAUAAAAAUAAGUAUCAAAAUAUAUAAAUAUAUAUAAUUUAAACACUUAAAUUAUUUUCCAUGAAUGUUAAGUUUUGGCCUAAUUUAUAUUAGAUUAGGAACAAAAUAAAGUUGAAGAAGAAAGUUUAACCCACCAACUGGCAAGUUUAACCCACCAACCGGCAUAAGCACACCUCAAUUAAUUAAUCUUAUUUAAAAAAUCAAUGUUAGUGGGUGAUUGGUUUUUAUCGCAUGAUAGAGAUUUGUUCUGUUUUUAAAGCUUAAUUGGAGGAAUUCUUGAUUGUAACACCCCUAACCCGUAUCCGUCGCCGAAUUAGGGUUACGAGGCAUUACCGAACAAACACAACUAUUUUUAAAACCAAACUGAUCACAAACAUGAAAAUUUAAUCAUUUUCGCAUAGCUGUUUAUAAUUUACAAUCAAAAUCUAACUAACAUCGUACUCAAACCUAUACAUGCCAUAAGAUCAAGUUCAAAUAUUUAACAAAAUACCAAAAGAAGUCGAUAGUGUGAUAGACUAUGCUGAUGAUCCCUGAGCUCGUAACGCGUCUCUAAAAUCUAUAAAAACAAAUGGACAAAAACAAUCAAAGUAAGCUUUUAUAGCUUAGUAAGUCUAUAGCAUAUCUAAAAAUACAUAUAAAAGAAUCACAUAAUUCUUUAAGUAAAUUUAUUGAAAUCACAAAUAUCAAAUAUAAUUACUAACUAAACAUUGCUAUAUUGAGUCAUUUUGUUUAAAUCUAAAAGAAUGUAUAUUUAACUAAUAUACAUAAACGGACAAAGGUAUAUACAUUAUAUGCAAAUAAUCAAGUUACUAACAUAAUCAUUAACUGCAUAUACUGAUUUCUAAAGUACUUAUUGUUCGCACUUCAUCGGAUCCAUUUAUAUAUAAUUAUUCAAUUACAUAUACCAAAAGCAUAACUUUUAUACUUAUCAACUAUAAGUGCCGAAUGCACAUAUUCACUUAUACCCACCUAUGCCGAAUGCAUACAUAUACACAUUUAAAUAUCCAACAAUUUCAUGACAACUGAUAUAUAUAUACAUACUCACUAAUCACAAAGAUUCGAACGAUUAUAUACUCAUCAAACAUCUUGAAACAAUGUUCAUAUAUUUAUCCAUUUCAUUUAAUUAAAAUCAUAUAUAUAUUUAUACCCAAUGCUUAGAAUCACUUAAUUUAAACAGAUUCACUGGCACUUCACCUUAUAGACUUAUAGUCUAAUUCCGUUCACCGGCACUUAGCCUGCUAGGCCUAUAGCCUGAUUCAGUUCACCGGCACUUAGCCUGCUGGACAUAUAAUCCGAUUCAAUUCACCGGCACUUAGCCUGCUGGACGUAUAGUCCGAUUCAAUUCACCGGCACUUAGCCUGCUAGACGUAUAGUCUGAACAAUUUCACUGGCAAUAAAUCCGAUUGAUACUGAGCUUUAAUAAAAAAAUCUCAAUUCACAGAAGUUGUAUCUCUUAUUUGUAUAUAAAAUCCACAUACAAUUUAGCUCAAUAUUCAUAACUUAUGUCUGUAAAAUACAUGGAUAGAUAUAAAUCCCAAUCAUCAAAUCUAGCUUAAAUAAUUCAAUGAUUCAACCGAAACACAUUUAUGUAUACAUAACCUCAUACUAUAGAUUCCACUUCUAAUACCAUAAAAUUUAACUUAUAAUAUACUAGGUACCUUAAACAUUUGAAUUCCCUAUAUACCUAUAUAGUUUCAUAUACCAUUUCAAUACAAGAUCUUAUACAUGUACAUAUAUGCAUAUUCGAAUCUAACAACCAUAUAUUACUCUAUACUUAUUUUCGAAACAAGAACAUAUACCUAAAUACUCAUACAUAUUCGAAUUUAACAUAUAUAUGUAUAUAUAUAAUUGAAUAUAAUUUCAUACUUAUACUCAAUAUAAUUAUUAUUCAUAAGUACACAUACUUAUUCACUUCAACUUAUACAAAUGUUCAAAUAUAUCUCAUACCUUUGAAAUUUCAUACCUAAAUUCAAUACAACAAAUUUUACAUAUAUAUACAUGUAUAUUCGAAUAUAAUUUAUACAUAUAUGUUCAUAACUAAAUUUAUUACAUGGACAUUCAUAUGCAUAUUUGUAUAUUCAUAGCCAUUCGACUCUAACAUAUAUAUGUAUACAUAAUUUCAUACUUUCAAAUUCCAAAUUUCUUUCUUUUAUACUUUUUAAAUUUAACUCAACACACAUACCAUUGAUAUACAUACUCAUAUGUUGAUUUAAUAAAAUUAAAUAGCUAAUAGACUUACCUCGGAUUUCAGCGGACACGAUCGACUAUUCGAUUACUUUCGUUUUUCCCCGAUCCAAAUUCGUUUUCUUCGUUUCUUGAUCUAAACAUAAUCAAAUUUAACCUUUUUAUUCAUCAAAACAUUCAAUUAAGUCCAAAAAUACAUAAAUGGAAAAAUUACCAUUUUACCCCUAACAUUUUACACUUUUUGCAAUUUAGUCCUUUUUGCACAAAACACAAAAUACACAAAAUUUGCCUACACUACGCUAGGGCCGAAUGUUCCUUGUCUUCAUACAAGUCCACACAUUUCAUUUAUUUCGCAUUUUAGCCUUUCAAAAAUAUUAUUUUGAAAUUUAACCCUAAUUACUCAAUUUCACCAAAAAUUCCAAUACAAAACAUAUUAAUCUAAAACAUAUCUUUCAUUAUUCACUAUCAAACAUCACAAAACACAAUUAUUCAUCAAUGGCAUAGACCAAAAUAUUCAUCAAAAUAAAAAAUUCAAGCAUGGGUCAGAUAGUAUUCGAAGUAGAGCUGCUCAUGGGCCGGGCCAGGCCGGGUUCGGCCCGGGUCCUAGGCCUGGGCCCGGCCCGACCCGAAAUAUGGGUCUAGAAUUUUGCCCAAGCCCGGCCCGGGAAAAAAUUCAUAAGCCCGGGCCCGGCCCGUUUUUUAAAUAAAUACCAAAAUUUUAUUUUAAAAAUUAAAAAAAUUUAUUUUAAAAAUAUUUUAAAAUUAAAAAAGUAUUUUAAAAAUAUUUUAAAAUUAAAAAAAUUUUAAAAAAGUAUUUUAAAAGUAUUUUAAAAUUAAAAAAUAAAAAAAUUUAUUAUAUUCAGGCCGGGCCGGGCCGGGCCCGGGCCAAAAAAGUGGUGCCCGAGGCUCGGCCCGUUUUUUAAUCGGGCCUCAUUUUUUGCCCAAGCCCAUAUUUCGGGUGGGCCGUCGGGCUGGGCCGGGCCGGGCCGCCCGGCCCAUGAGCACCUCUAAUUCGAAGCAACGAUAUCAAAAACGUAAAAAUUAUCAAAAACCGAGCUAAACACAUACCUUAAUCAAGCUUAGACAAAACCGAACCCUAGGAACUCUUUUUCUUUUCUUUUUCUUUUAAGUUUCGGCAAUGGUGAUGAAAAAGAUGAACAAGUGAUGUUUUGUUUUAUUUUUAUUAUCAUUAUUAACAUAAUUACCAAACUAUCCUUAAUGAAAUAAUAUAAAAGCUAAAAAAUGAUAGUCCACUACCGUCCAUACUAUCAUUUAGUGGCCUAAUUUCAUUUUAAGGCCUCCACAUUAAAAGAACAUAGCAAUAUAGCACUUUAACAAAUAGCAAGUCACUUUUAUAAUUUAUGCGAUUAAGUCCAUUUAUAAAAUUAAAUAACCAAUCGGUAAAAUUAAUUUACGAAAAUUUCACACAUGCAUUCUAACAUGCUUUAAACACAUAAAAUAUAAUUAAAAUAUUUUUAGGACUCGGAUUUGUGGUCCCAAAACCACUAUUCCGAUUAGAGUCAAACCGGGUUGUUACAUUGAUGGUGUGUCAUUGACAGAAGGAAUACUUCAUGACAGAAUUUUGAUACAGACCGAUAAUAUGGAUGUUAUUGGGACCAUUAAGGAAUCCUUUUUGAAGGAGUCAAAUUCUGCUUUAAUAAGAUGCAUUAAUCAACUCUUACGGAAGGAGACAAACUAGUCCAUAGAUUAUGUUCCUAGAGAAGACAACAUGGAAGUUGAUCAAAUAUGGAAGUUGAUCAAAUUAUUAAGUUGGCUUUUGAUAGAGAGGAAGUCGGCUAUUUUACAAAAAUAAUACAAAAAAAUAAAAAAAAAUACCUAAAUAUUAUAUCUUUUUUUAUUUACCAAAAUGGUACAAAAAAAAACAGUUAAAAAAAAACCUGAAAGAAGGGCCUGCCACAGGCGGUACCUUUGGUGCCUGUGGCAAAGGCGGCACCAAUUGUUCGUAUUUCGACCCUUUGUUCGUAUUUUUUUUCGGAUUUUAUUAUUUUAAAAAAUAUAAUAUUUUCUAAUUUUAUUAUUUUACAUUAUUUUAGUACAUUAUAUUUGAAAUGUAUUCAUUUAGUAUGUUUUUUAAAUAAAUUUAAAAAAAACCCUUAUUUCGGCCCUUUGUUCGUAUUUUUUCCUGGAUUUUAUUACAUUCAAUAAAAAUAUAUUAUUUUCGUAUUUUAUUAUUUUACAUUGUUUUAGUACAUUAUGUUUGAAAUGUAUUAACUAAUUUUGUUUUUUAAAUAAAUUUAGUAAAAAACCCUUAUUUUGACCAUUUGUUCGUAUUUUUUCCUUAGAUUUUAUUACUUUUAAAAAAUAUACUAUUUUUUAAUUUUAUUAUUUUACAUUAUUUUAGUACAUUACAAUUGAAAUGUAUUCAUUCAGUGUGUUUUUUAAAUAAAUUAAAAAAAAACCCCUUAUUUCGGCCAUUUGUUCAUAUUUUUUCCCCGGAUUUUAUUACUUGCAAUAAAAAACACACUAAAUGAAUACAUUUCAAACAUAAUGUAAUAAAAUAAUGUAAAAUAAUAAAAUUAGAAAGUAGCAUCUUUUUUAAAAGUAAUAAAAUCUGGAAAAAAAAAUACGAACAAAGGGCCGAAAUACGAAAAAUUGGUGCCGCCUCUGCCACAGGCACCAAAGAUACCGCCUGGGGCAGGCCCUUCUUUCAGGUUUUUUUUUAAACUGUUUUUUUUUGUAUCAUUUUGGUAAAUAAAAAAAAGUUAAACUAUUUUGAUUUUUUUUUUGUAUUAUUUUUGUAAAAUACCCGAGGAAGGCUUACAAAUGCAGUUUCUCCUCUAGUUUCUUUUUAGUUCUUUUAUUUAUUUUUGUAACACUUCUUUUAUUCAUAAAAUAAAAAAUCAAUGCUAGGAGCACUUAUAAAUAGGGUUAAUUUCAUUAAAAGUCCUCAAAUUAUAGUUCAUAUUCUAAAUUGAUUUUUAAUUUCAAAUGUUUUACUUGAGUUCUUAAAAUAUCAAUAUUGUAUCAAUCAUACCAUUAUUAGCCUAACCACUAGUUUAGACAUUAAAUGUUGGUUUGGAUUUGAAGUGAAGCAGAUUUUAAACUACCCGAAUCAAAUUGUAAAUACGUUUGUACCUACCAUAUAGGCAACUUAAUUUGAUGUGUUAAAAAAGCAAAUAGUGUAAACCAUUUUCUUAAUAUAUUAGAUCCAAGCUAUUGACACAUGUUUUUAUAAUUUAACCCACGUACUUUAAUUAUGCUCCAUGCUAAAUUUGAGCGGACAUUUAAUAUUUAAAUUAACGGUUAUAUUAUUUAAAAAUGUGAUUAAUAAAAAGUUAGAUAUUUUGGAAACUCUUAUUAAAUUUGAAUACCAAUGUAAAGUUUUGGUGCAAUUUUAUUUUUGUAUUUUGUUUUAUGUUAUAGAUUCAUAUGUUGUUGGAUUUCCUCAUAUUCUAACAAAUCAAUUAAACAAUAAUAUAAACUUUGGAAUGAAGAAACAAAUAUUAUAAAUUAGAAGUAUUCAUGGUUGUCACAUUUAUUUUCCAGACAAAGCAAAUCAAAUAUUUUUGCAUCAUCAUGCAUUUAUUAAAUAAAAGGGUUCAUGAAUAAUGCAUGAAAACUUCCAUUUUUUAUUCAUGAUGUCAAAAAUGGGAUUUCAUGAUUAGAAAUAAAAGAAGAAAAGGAAGAAACAGACCUUUCCUAAGAUAAGCUCAGAUUUGGUCUGGAUUAUGUAGACCAAUAGAAUGAGAUAUGAAGUUAUGAAAUAAAUCCAAAUAUAUUCCAAGAGAAAGGACAUCUUCUUGGAAACCCCUUUCCUACUCUUCCUUCCAUAACCAUGUAGACCAGUCAAUUUUUUUAUAAUAAAAAAUUAAGUCUGCUCAGCUGAUAAUGGGUAAUUUUAGGAUUCGAAUUUGAUCUUAUAAAUAUCUAGGAAAGAAAUUUACUUUCACUUUUUUCAAUCAUUGGUUGAAAUUUAGAGAUUAAUUUUCAGUGUAUGUACUUUUUAAAUAUACGACUAUUUAAUAGUUUUGGGUGAACUGAUGUAAUUUGGUGGAAGAUGUUCUUCGGAUUUCGGAAGUAUCCUCCAUAAAAGAGGCAAACACAUUCAAUCUAAACACGUGCAACAUUCUAAUAAAUUCCAUACAUGUUGACUUUUGAUUACUUACUAUUCCUUAGUUAGAAAGUUUUAAUAUUGACGAGUCAGGGUAAUUGCACCUAUCAAAGAAAUUUAAAAGGCUGUUAAAUGAAUUUCAAUUUGUUAACUAUUACUUACCAAACCUUGUUUUAUAAUUUAAUUUGAUUCUGUAGUCCAAAUAAUCGAGUAUAGUAGUAAUUAGCAAACAAGAAUACUUGUACAACCCAACAAACUAAGGCCAUUCCCAAUGAUCCACAUAUUAAAAUCUUGCCUAUAAUGGAUAAGCAGAAGAAUUUGAACAAUUUGUCCAGCUUUGGAACACUUGGUUAGAACUUAAACUAUAGUUUUUAUUUUGUAUUUUUUACGAGAUGACCAGUCAAAAGCAAACAAGGAGAAUGGGCAUAAAAAUAUUGAACACUCCACUAGGAUUUGAUCUGUAAAAUUAUGCUAAACAUGUUUUUGCUUAAUCCUGGACUAUAUGGGUAAAAAUAGUUGGCAAAAGAAGAAAUGAAACCCCAACAACACAUUACAUUCAUAAUAAUGUAGUCUUAAAACCCCUUAAAACAGAUCUGUCUAAUUAUAUUUUUCUUAAUCACCUAGAUAUUGUAGGUUCUUGAAUGGGAUUUCAACUUUGAUUCAAUCAUGGGCUCAUAAAUAAUAAAGGUAGCCAUGAAAGUUCCCAACUUGAAACUUAUUUAUGUGGCCCUUAAGGGGUCUGAUAGCUUGCAUGGUCAAAAUCUCAGAUCAUGCCCUAUCCAAAUAAAAUGAUUGGUUUUGAAUGGAUUCAUUGUAUACCGAAUGACAAUGAUCCAUGCAUUUAUAACAAGUUUUGUUUUGUGUUGUGUUAUACAUUCAUGUUUUUCGGUUCAUAUCCGUACUAGUACUGGAGAUUAUAUAUAAAGUUGGAUAGCUUUUUAACUAGAAGGUCUUAUUAUCCAUAAUUCUCAAUAUUUUUCAUAUCUAAAACCAAAUGGCGGUAUUCGUUGUAGAUAUAGACAUGGUGCCAAUAAGUGUUGUUAUUUCUAUCUUUUCUCUUACCUAUAAACAUUGAGUAGAGAAAAAUAUUUGAAUACUAUAAUUUAAACAUUACUUGUUGAAUACAAAUAUUAUGAGGAUUUUUGACGCAUAAUAACUUGUGUUGUAUCAUCCGGUGACCACGACGGUGAUUGGAUGAAAGGGAUGGUAAGAGAUAUCCCAAGGGCUUCUAGUGUCCAUGCCGAAUUAUGGGCCUAAAUCUCUUGGAAUUAGUUGUCAUGAGAUCAAACUUGAUGCCACUGCUGUUAUUAAAGCUAACCUUGAUAAUCAAAUGCUCACGAUAUUGAUUCGAGGCUUCUUAUGAAACAUAUGUUUAGAGAAGGAAAUCAAUGUGUUAGGCAGCAACUCUAUGGAACCUCGGACUGCCCAAGUAUUGGAUUUUGGUUUUGUUGUUAACUGCUAUGAACCCUAUUUGUAUUAAAGAUUUGCUACAAUGAGACGUGGUAUAUAUACGUUUUUUUCUCAUUGAAUGUUGGAAUUAUACGAAAUACAUUCAAAUAAAUAUCUAAAACAACGGAGAUCUACUUGGAAUCCCUUUCCUACUCUUCCUCCUGUAAGAAUGUGGAGUUUGAUUAAUUCGAAUCCUCUCACCAUUCAUCUGCAAUAUAAUUUUUAGAUUAAAAUACCGUUAAAUUAAACCUAUUCGAUAUAAAAUUUAUUCAUCAUGUUUGUUGUAUAUGAAAUUAAUGAACUGUUUUUAAACUAUGAUUAUGAGAAAAACUGUGGGUGUUUGUGGAGAGGAACUUACAUGAAGAGUUUGGUGAGAGGGAUGAUGUUCCUUGGAUUCCAAGCAUCCUUCACCCGUACAAUCUAAACAAGACGAUGUAUAUUUAGAGGCAUGGGUCUCACAUAAACUAAACAACUUGGCUUCCAAAGAUGGCAAUACCCCGCUACUUUCAACCUUAUUCUGUUCCUCCAUUCUUAAUUUCUUUAUUUCACAAUUCACAUAUGAAACUCCUCCUAAUAUAUACGUAUUUGUAUUACUCACAUAUAUGAGAAUAAGGAAAUCAUAGUUCUAAGAGAAGUAGGACACAAGUUUUCCAUAUUGUAUUAGGAAUUCCUACUAUUUCCCUUUUUUGUUGGAUGACGAUUUAACUACAUUAAUAACAAAACAAAUUCGAGGGUGACUUUAUGUACUUUUUGUUAUUGCAUAACAUCUGAAAAACAAAAGAGUGAAGUUCAUUAAUACAUCUCUUAUAUUUUUAGUCAAAUAAAUAUAAGUUAGACAAUGCUAAACUUUUGUACCCUUACCCUCAAGCAUUCCCUUCAAAAUUGAACUAAACUAUAACAUGAAAAUUGAGAAUUUCAGUUCAUAGGUGAGGCAAUGGAGGUUGAUUUUGACUUUGGAACAUGGAUUUGCUUUUUAAGUCUGUUCAUUGAUGGGACAAUUGUCGAGAUAAUAAUGGAGGGGUGAUUUGAGGGCUUUGGAAUGUUUGGCUGAAAUUGGUGGAUUUUUAAGGGGUAAUUAAGAAAUGGCCCUAAUUGGUCAUUUUGGUACAACCGCAAGGGACCCUUUGCAGUUGUAGCUGCAGUUUUUCUUUCACCACCUGCAAGAAUUUGCUGAAUGUUAUAUUUUUAAUAAACUGUAUGAACUAGAUAAAUGAAUCAUUGAAUCGUAAAUUGGCAGCAAACUUUAUUCAAAAAACAUUGAAAUUCAAUUUUAUCGUUCAAGAUUUUGAUGUUUGUAUAUGAUACUGUCAAUGUACACUUCUUAAUUUGAACAUCUAAAGAACUGUCAGGAUCUGCCUGCUGAACUUUUUUGUGUAUGAAGAAAGGGUUGGAACUAGGAAGUUGCGAGUCGCUACAAAGACGAAAGGAGCCAAAGGUUGAAGAGAGUUGAAGCAAAGGAUAGAAACCACGACAUGAAAGCCAUAGCUGCAGACAACUGAUAUCUACUGCAUAUCUUUGACGGGCAAUAUGUUGAGCUGACAUUGACCAAGAGACUUGUCACACUAGCAGUUGAGCAAGCCGCGGCUAGUGAGAGAAAUGACAAGGCCUGCAAUCAGAUAAAACACAUGUUUUUACAUCAAAUUAUGAUAAGGGAUAACACCAUGGUGAUGAUAUGCAUAAUAAGCCUUGUAACAUACCCAGUCUCCAACAAUGACAACCAGCAGUACCCUUGGUUGUCGUGGUAAGCCUUUAACGAACACGGAAUAUGCAUCAACCAAUGCUAAUGACACACUCCAUGGAGUCACUAAACCCAUGACUGUCACCAAGUAGCUGCGAAAAAAUUUAAAGGAAAAUUGGAGAUUGAUUUAUCACCCAACAAUUGGUGACCAACAAUGAAAACACAAACAUUCUCUUCUAUAUCAUUAUAUCUAAUGAGCAAUUGAACAUUAUAGUUUGUACCUGCAAUUGAUCGAACAACACCACAGACAAGGCAAGUUUAGACAAUAGAAGACCUUAUCCUAUGGCAAUUUUUUAUCAUUCAAUAGCUUCUGUUACUAGUGCAAGGGCUUUGAAAUUGCAAGAACAGAUACGGUAAAACGGCCACGCCAGUCAUAGCAAAUUGGUACUUAUGGUCUUAUGUUUUUGAAGUACAGAAUAAAGUGGUUAUAUUCAUUGUCUUAAGAUUGAUCCAGAUGGUUUGUGCUGAUCUAUAGAAGUUAGAUAGCAGAUACAGACAAUGCCUCAUUAUCUAGUUUCAUCUUUCCAGAAACAUGCAAAACACGAGGACCCAAGUCAAGGAAUAAAGUUUAAAUGCAAAAGCCAUACAAGACCACUAUCUACUUUUACAAUUCACCUUGUUAACUAUCUUGAUUCCCUUGACAUCAAGCUUAAUCAUCCUUGAUAUUAGCACUUGAUGAGCUAUUUGGUUCCGGCCAUUUUGUUAAUUGCUUAAAUUAAAGCCUUUUUCUUGUACAAAUGCUCCCAACAUUGUGCAUUUUAUACACAAAAAAAGACACAUUUUUUGCAUUUCCAUUCACCUAGUGAAAACUUUUAACAGAGGAAAAGUCCGGAAUCCAGCCUUGGAUAACAAAUAUCAUCAGCAAAUAAAUUAUAUUCUAUGGUCUAGUUCAACAACUAGCCAAGUAACAGGUCAUGUACAUUGAGAAUGGUUUUGAUAACUCUAAUUGUUGAAAGUCCAAAUUCAGUCAUCCAUACAAAAAGCAAUUGAUCUUUGCAUAUCCCUGAAUCAAAAUAGACUCUCAGAUAACUUUACCCUUUCAAUCAUUAAAUGGCACCUUUCCCUGCAGUCAUCCAUAAGCAAGAAGCAAGAUUUCCUGAAAAUGGCUUUUUUUUAAACCUUAAAUUGUUUUGUUUUCAUAAAAAAAAAAAUUCACCUAAUUCAUUUUCUCCCCAAGCCCAAAAGCCCUUCCCUUCAAAUAAUUUCCAUGAAGAUACCAGUGGAACCAGAAGUACUUUUGCUCUCUCCAACAUGGUAAAGCCGCUAUUUUACAUGGCAAAAAGACACACAAAGCUUGCCUAACCUCAAUCCAAAUCCUUAAAGACCAAUCACUAAAAUGAUCACGAUUGUGAUAGUUUUUCCCUGGAGGUUCCCAAAGUAACACCAGAACCAGCUAUUAAAAGUUGACAACGAAUUGAAUUCCGAGCAAAUAUCAGAAACAAAGAGGCAUGGGUAUUGAAGAUUAAAAGCCAAAGAGAGGAAGAAAGAUAAAAUAUGACCAAAUAAAUGGAAGAAUCUUAAAACGUUGACAGUUACCUGAAAGAAGUAUAGCUAUAGAAUUCAACAUCCAAACACAUAAAGAGAAGUGAAGCAGCGGAGAAAACAGUUUGUCCCAAACGAAGAGCCAAGCUGGCGCUUGUUCCCAACGCCCCUGGCACUGCUUCCAUCGUCCCUCAUGUCAUCUUAUCUCUCUGUUUCUUCAUCUUCAGUGUAUUCCCCUAAAACCCAAUAAAAAAGCAGAGGCCAAACACUAGGAGAAGGGAUUGAAGGGAUUGAAACAAUAGAAUUAGAGUAAAAAAGAAAAAGAGAGAAACAGUGGAGUCCUAGGAAUAGGAUGAAGAAAUGGAAAGAGAGGAAAAAGAGGAGAUGGGUAGGGUGAAUGAUGAAGGAUGAAGGAGGAGGAGGAGGCCAAGUUGUUGUAAUGGCGCUUUUGGGUCAAUGUCAAUUCUCUCUCUCAUUCUUAAUUUUACAAAUGGACUGUCCCUCUUUUCUCCAUUUUUGAUUCUUGUAAGUGGAUUCCCGGGGGUUGUCCACUCUUUUGACGAUGUAAAUAAUAAUGUGUCAUUCCUUCACGUAUAUACUACCAAGACACUGUUGAGUUGAAGCUACUAUAUUUUAUUUCUGAAAUGCAAAUGAAAUUCAAAUUGGUGAAAUAUUUAGAAAUUAAACAUUGAAUAAUUGGAACCAUACAAAGUUGAUUGCCGGGCCAAGACAAUUGGAACCCCACAAAAUGGUAUUUAAGAGAGAACAAAUUCCAUUUCUAAAGACGUGGUUCAUCUAUCCUACAGUUUGGAACACCCAUGAUUCAAUCAUUUCCAACCCAAUGUUUAUAAUAUUACUUGUCUAUCUGCUUCUGCUUUUUCAACACUUCCCUCUAAAUUAUACGACUUUCUCUAUUUCUUAUCUGUAUUUAUCAAAACACUACGGCAUCAGUUGACUUGUCAUUUUAGGCACCAAAUGCAAGGAAACUAUAAGUUUAUUCACACAAAACACUAUUUUGAUGAAUUCAAAAUUGUCUACACUUAGAUCAUCUUUCUUUUUCCAGAUUAUUAUUAUUAUUUAUAAAAUUAUCAUUUAAUAAAUAAAUUUCAUAUUUGAAAAUGAAAAAAAUAUAUAUUCAUUUAUUUAUAAAUAUUUUUAUAAUUUUCUACAUAUUUUUACCAAAAAUUAAACUUUUAAAUAUUUUGUUUUAUGUUUUUCUAAUUUCUAAAUUUUAUUUUUUAAAGAAUCAAGGCUAAAUUCACAAAAUGUAUAAAAUUGAGGGUUAAUUUAUUAUUAUGUAAAAAAAAAAGACCACCACUAAUGAGUUAACAAAGGGAUGACCAAAAUAUUAAAUUUUAAACUUAAAAUAACUAAAAUAAAAAUACACUAACAAUUUUGUAGUUUACCUAUAAACAUUUUCUGAAAUUGAAAAGAUAACCUUUUCUAGUUUCAGCCUUUUAUCAGACUUGUUGAAGAUGCUAAGAGGAGUAGUUUUAUUUGGUAUUAUUAUGUGGGUGGUACACUCAUUGAUUUAUUUAGUUAUUUCUUUGGCAAGUGAAGAGUUUGGGAGAGUAAAUUGGACAACAUUUAGGGUGUCAUUAUUCAUUUGAGUGCCAGCAUACUAGACUUAAAUCAAUAGUUGUAUAGAAAAUACUGUUUAAUGAAUUCAUUCUCUAAUCUAGACUCUUAAAAGUAGAAUUGUUUAAUCUAAAUUCGCCUCUUAAGUAAGGAUACCCAGAAGAAAAAGGUCAAGUGAAUCGUUAGGGUGUAUAUGAUUAACUUAUAGUUACUAAUAAAACAAAUAAUUUUAUAUCUCAAGUUCACGAGACAGAAAGAAUUGUAGUGAAAAAGUUUCACUAACAAUUUGGAUGGAAUGAAAUAAUUAUUUCAACUCUAUCCAAACAUCUAUAUAUAAUGUACAAAUAAAUACACAAGUGUCUUUUUGAAAAGUCUUUAAAAAUUUAUCAAAUAAACAAGAUUAUUCGGAUUUAAAAUCAAUAAAUAAACAUAUGUUUUUGACUUAAGGCACCAACUGGGACAUCAUUAACAUCUUUUCUUUCUCCUUUCAUGAUUGCAAAAAUAUAUGCAUAUCACAUAUAUAAAUAUAUAUUAUAUAACUAUGUAUCAAUCAUAACUAUGCAUGUAAAAUAUCAUGUAUAUAAUAAACUAACUUUUGAUUUUCAUAAAACAUUAAUGCAUUAGACAUUAUACUUUUAAAUCAAAUUCAAGCAACAUGAAUAAAAUGAUAAAUUUGACAUACAUGUCCUCGCGAUAAAGGUUUCUUCUAAAUCAAUUUUUGAUAAGAUUAUUGACCUUGAUGCAUUUACAUUUGUCAAUAGCCAUCCUUUUAGUAUCAUGCUUGUAGUGUCGUGUAAAUAAAUACGCCUUCAUUAAUAUCUGAUAAGUUUUCCAAAAAAAAAAAUCUUAAAAUUGUUGGCGUGUGGAGAUAAAAUAAUCUUAUUAGAAAUUAACCGAAGGCUUCAAGGCUUGUAACCAUGCCACUAUUUUUAAGGAUGAAGGAUAAUAAAAAGAAACUUUUGAAGUUGUUCUUUAUAGAACAAUCUAAGAAUAUUAGAAGAUGAAGGAGAAUAAAAGAAACUUUUGUUUUUCAACUUUUGAUGUGAUUUUGGUGUUACAUACAAAUGAAAUUUCACUCCUAUUUAUAUGACAUAACUUUUGAUAUUUAAGUGACAUACAUUAUCACUAUAAAUAGUGACAACUCUUGAUCAAUAAUCAAGUGAUACAACUCUUGAUUACUUAUAACUUUGGCAUAAUGACUUCUUUAACCUUUCAACUUUACAAAAAAAAAUCAUUUUAGCCAUCCAUUUUUUUUUGUUCGUUUUAGCAUUUGAACUUGUAUUUUUUGUCACAUCACCUCAAAAUGGAUGGAAAAUUUAAUGUUUGUUAACUCUAUUGAUGCGGCAUACAUGUAGAUAGCCAUGUAAAUGACAUGUCAACAUUUAAUUAAUUUUUUAAAAUUUAAAAUUAUUAAAAAUAUAAUUUUAAUGAUUUUAAUUUUAAAAAAUAGUUUUAUAUUUUUAAAAUUUUAAAAAUUAAUUAAAUGAUGAUAUGUCAUCCACGUGGCAAUUCACAUAUAACAUUAGCAAAAUUUUUAAAAAAAAUUGACUUUUCCAUUCAUUUUGGGGUGAUUUAAUAAAAAAUACAAGUUUAAGGGCUAAAAAGGCAAAAAAAUAAAUGAAGAGCUAAAAUAGCUUCUUUUUUUGUAAAGUUAAAGGGUCAAAUAAGUCAUUAUGCCUAUAACUUUUCAUUUACAACUAUUAAAACCCUAUAUUAGAAAUGUUACUACAAAUAUUUCUCCUACAUGUGAAAGACCUACAAAAUUAAUGAUAUCUUAAGUUAAGAAGCUGAAACUAGAGUUAAUGAAAUUUCAACCCUAAAAACUCUAGUCUUUUAAUUUCCUAUAGGUAAAGUGUAGUAAAAUCCUGAAGUUACUCUAGGAUUUCAUAUCUUUUAUCUACUCCAAAAACCAUACUUGUGUCUUUUAAUCAAUGACAAAACAAACCCAACAAUUUUAUCCAAUCAUUAGGAUGGGUUUAUACAUGUUUAAUUAUGUUGUAAUUCCUAUAAAUUAUUAUACAACAAUAAAAGUUAUUUUGAAGCGUUCGAUAGCAUCAAGGUAAUUGUUCACCUUAAUCCGAUCGCGUUUGAUUGUUUGCUGAUGUAAUGGCUUGCUUUGGUGGCUAUUGCUCAUUCCUAUGGCUUUGAAUCCUCCUUUUCGUGUUUAGUAAUGGAGGCCUGAUUGAAGUGUAGGUUUUUCCUGAGCAGUUCAACUCGGACUUUAGAUUGAUCGGCUUUGGGGUGAACUGUGACUCUCGUUCAAGUGUACUAAGAUUGUUGAAAGCUUUGGCUCAUUUGGAGCUAUUGCUCUUGUUGCAUGUAAACCUAUUGGAAAAACAUUUGUUAAGGACCCUUCAGCUGUAUCAAGCCCUUUCUCAAGAAUCGUAAGAGAUUUCAUAGCAGCCACACUUGGUUUUGAUUUUGCCCAGGCCCUGUUUUCACGAUCCACAUUGGGGAGAGUUGUACAAGUAUUUCAUCUUCUAAAUGUUUAUUAACUACUGGAUUAUUAUCUACUUCUUUAGGGAUUUUGAAGAAGAUCGUGAUGUUGAAGUACUUGAAGCCACGGUUUUACCACCACUUGCACGGAAGAACCAAGGCCGUUUAUUGAUGAUUUACAUUCAAACUCCUUAAUGAGAGUGAGAUUAUUUAGUUUCCAGGAUUCCCAGUGCUUUGAUCAAAAGUAACAGGGGUUUGUAGUAGAAGCUUAGAAAAUUAUUAUAAGAAGCCAACAUAGUAACAUACAAAGAAGAUAAGGGUUUCUCAGUGGAUUACUGCAAAGUUUAGCAACACUUGUUUAAAAAUUACAAAACCUCAGCCGAGAAUAAACAAAUUCAUACAAGACUUGUUUAUGAAUCAAGCUGAGCAUACCAGACACCAGUGAUCUUGACAUCCUUUGGAGUCUUGGCACCCAAGUCAGUGUCAGAUGGCUGAAGGCUCUCGAACACACCGAUAACUUCACCGGUCUCCGGCUUGCUCUUUGUGACGCUCAAGGUGAUUUUCCCUGAUGAAGAUGCAGCACUCUUGUUGUUCUCCUUGGCUAGCUCUUCCUCAUCCCCUCUUCCUCCAGCAGGCAAGGCCACUGCAUUAUCGUACCCGGUUGAGCCACCCCUUCCCUUUGGGUCCAAGAAAGAUGAGCCACGGUAGGAUGGUACAAGGAAGUCUCCUCCAAAGCUAUCAGGUUUGCCUGAUGCAACCAAUUGCUUGAUGGUGAACAGGAAAGGCACACGCUCACCACCAGGAAGCUGAACUGUGACGGCAGCAUAAUCAAUCCCAUCUUUCUCCUCGAAUUUGACGGUGCCAUCGGUGGAUACCUCGAAAGGGCCCUCGAUUUCGUCAAGGGUGUAGGUUAAACGGGUCAUGAGCUUGGUGUUUUGGAACUCAGGAGGGGCAUUCUUGUUAACACCCUCAGCCUUGACAGUGAAGGAAGUGGGCUCCAAGCAGAACUUCUUGGCGUAGUAUUUGCCAGGCUUGAAGGCAAAAGAGUCGACACCACCAUCGAUGGUUGGGCACUGGUUAGCAGUUCCUGUUCCUUUGACUUCCAUGUAUGUCUUGCUUUGGAUUUCAUCGUAGGUUAGCCGCUUUGGAACUCCUUCAGCGCUUGCUCCCUUCAAAACAAACCAGUCAUUGUAACAUAUUUGUUCAGAUCACGGAUCAUAUAUGAUCCUUAUGUAUGCAAUCAACGAUACUUGGUUCAAAUAAAAAAUCCAAAUGAUAAAGUUACAACACCAUGCAAGCUCAUUAAGAAUCCUACCUAAGCUACAUAAAAAUAAAUACAGAAAUUUGAAGCAAGUGAGAGGCGAGAAGUAAAUACCGAGACAACAAGAGCAGAUGUAGCAAGAGCGAAACCAGCGAGCUUGGUAGCAUCAACACACUUCUGAGCCAAGUCCUUGAGGUCAGUUUGCAAAGAGCAGGUGAGCCUAGCACCAACAGGCUCCAAACCGAAGGCCUUAGAAACGCUCUGGGAGGACCUGAGCAGCACAUUGGUCCUUGAUGGUGCAGCAACCUUGAUUGGUUGCAUCAGGGUAGCUGCAGCUUGAAGUGAGACCGACAUUGUUACGAACUAUUGGAAAACAAAGAAGAGAGAGUUGUUUUAGUGAGAGCGUAGGGGAAAUUUAGGGGCCAAUUAUGUUGGUGGCAAUGGUGAGAGUAAAGAUAAGGGGAUAGGAUAUGGGAAGUUCCCAUUGGUGGAUGAAGGUAAUGUGUUUGGUUUCAGGGUAUGACACGUGGAGAUUUUGUGAAAUGGGAUAAAAAUGGGUGUUAGUCAGAGUGGAUGAUGUGAGGGACUACAGAUUUUCUUAAAGUUAGUUCUGCCAUACAAAUUCCGGUGGUUGCCCUUCCUCCACUGGGGCCAUCAUGCUCAGAGAGUACUUUGAGUUGGAAAUCAUUUGGUUAACAUAUGCUGUUACUCCCUAUAUUUUGAUACAAUUUGAGAUUUAGUCUUUGUACUUAAAAAAUUUUAAAAAUUAAAUCCUACUUUUUUUUCUUAAAAAUCUCAGUGCAAUCAUCAAAAUCACAAGUACUUUCUGUCAAAAUAUUUUAAUUUUUCGUAAGUAUUUUUUUGUCAAAUUUUGUUAACUUGAAAUUCUAAUUAGGUUUUUCUCAUAUGAUUGAUAGAAAAUAAAUAUAUUAAGUCGACAAAUUUUGAUAGAAACUACCAACAAAGAUAAUAAUUGAACUAGGAUUUUUAAAUUGAAAAAUUAGAAUGAUUGAUUUUUUUUACAUUUUAAGUAUAGGGACAAAAUUUUAAAUCCUACACAAGUACAGGGACCAAAUAAAUUUCAUCAGCUUCUGUCGUGUUUGGGUUCCGACUGGGAUGUAAAAAGUGUCCAAAGUAGCAAGCCCAACCCAAACUAGAAGAGAAGUAAAAUCAUAAAAUAAUGAUAAUGGCCCAUCCAGGAAAUUCGCGUUAUUAGCACGACGCUCUAACCAGCUGAGCUAAUAGGCCUUGAUGGCAAAUGAGAUUUUAUUAUAUAAAUCAAGAGGCUACAGGAUUUCGUAUAACAGUUCAAUAAUUCAUACACGUGGAAAGACAGAUUCGUCAUUGACGAUUAUCAACGAGAAUUGACAGUGUUUGUGGGAAAACCAGUCUAAAAUAACCAACCCCUUUCUUUAUUCCUCUGCUUAAUUUAUUCAUAUAUUAGCCCUAUCAUUUCUCUUAAGGCAGCACCCUCUGACAUCUGGCAUGCAUCCACAGCAUUUAUGAAGAUUGCUGGUUACCUGCAAAACAAAACUUUAAAGUUGUUUCAUAUUCAUAUUCAACCAAAAACAUCAAGCUUGGCUUUUUUGUCCCUAGCUCGCUUAUCAUGAUCAUCAUCUUUCCUUUCGCUUUUUCGAAACAACAGGUUUAAAUGUCAACAAAUAAAAAUACCCAUUUUCCCAAUAUGUUGUAGUUGGGUAUUGAAGUAAAGAUUAGACGACCUCAAAGAGCAACUAAAACUAUGACAAGUAACCUCAUACACCAAAAAGUCAAAGAAAAACUAUAACCUGAAACUGGGGUUGCAGGUUGCUGAUUAUUGUUGUUGUUUGUCGCAUUAGUUGUGGAUGGGAUGACAACGCCAGGCCAUGAUCGGCACAUGCAGUGUUUUCCCACAUCUAUGCUGGCAUAGAGGGUGGAUAGAUGUUUCCCACAACCACCCCAAGUGUACUUUCCACAUUGCCUGCAAUCCACCCUGUAACAUAUUCUUUAGGAAUUUCUUCGCUGGCAAGAUUUUUAAAUCUUGUACUGAUAUUUGAUGUUGCUUCACAUCUCUUUAUCCUUCUCCUUUUUCAGUCUUUAUAAUGAAACCUUUGCUUUGAUGUAAUCGAACACAUUGUUGCAUAAUUAGCUAAAUAGUAAAAUAGAAACUUUGCCUGCUUAUCUUCUUGUUUGUAUCGCUUUGCCUAGUUAUAUUCCUGUCGUCCUAUUCACUCGCAACUAUCCUUUCCGCCCCUGUUUUCAUAAUAAUAAUAAUAAUUGUUGAUAGAUAUGUCAAUGCAUUAAAAAAGGUUGGCACUGUUUAAGAUUCACCAAUAGCAACAUAAAAGGAUAAAUGCAUGUGGCAAUACAAAAAUUCCAAUCAGGCUUUUAAAAGUAGGGAAAUGAUUAUAUCUAACCAUUGAUGUACCGCAAUUACAUAUUAGAUACACUACUAGAUGAGAGCUUUGCACGAAAAUGGUAAGAGUUUUUCAGAAGCAUAUUACAGCAGAAUAUAUCAAUUAUGAAUACAGGCAACCAAAACUGUAGUUUGCUACUACAGAUGGUAAGCUUCAACGGCAGACCCCGAUAACUACUAGUUAGGCAUUAUCAAAAUCUAGGACCCAAAAUCAGGAGGCACUGAUGCCGCCUCCCUCAGAUUAUGGGUCAAUUGUAGGUUUCUUUAUUGAGCUCGAUUCUACGGCACCUGCACUCAUCAAAACACGCUUCACUCCUCUUCCUACGAUGCCAAGACGAGUGACCGCCAUGGCCCCAUUUGUAUGAGCAGUGGAAACAGUUGGAGAGUCAAAAUGAUCUACGUUGCUGUUAGCAGGAGACAUAUGUGAAGAGUUCACUGCAGCAGGAGAUGCAUUAUUCUCACCGCCCCUUGACUUGCCAGAUGCCAUUCCCUGGAUUUCUGCAAUAAUUGACUUUGGGUCGGAGAUCAGCUGCUCUAGAUCUUCAAGCUACAAAUAUGAAAAUAGACAGAAUAAUAAAGUAUGUUUUACAUCAUUAUUAUUUAGUUCAAAUAGAUCAUCAAAAUUGCACUUGCCUUCUUUUCCAGGUCUUCAGCAAGUCCAACAAGAUUGUCAAUUUCUGAUUCUUUAUCUUUGACAGAUAGAACAGUCGGAGAGCCCUUAGACAGUUGUUCACCGUCACCCAAUUCAGAGGCAGCUGAAGAUGAUGCUAAUCCAGUGGAAAUCAUUAUCUCAUUCGUGAGCAGUUGCACCCGAGACUUGCAAACUGAGAUGGCCUUCUGACCGUAUGGAAUUGCUUCUUUGGGGUUUGAGCCAAUCUCCAAACACGUACAAAUCCGAAAAUUCCUAAAUUAUAGAGUUAAGCAGCAAAUAUAAAAACUAAAUGACAUUGAAGGGUUGACUUAAGGAGAUCCACAUUUCUUCAACUGACCAAGAUACCGCAUUAUUUAAUUGAACCUGGGACAAUCGAAGAAACAAAGAUAUUUCAACCUUAACAAGGAUACUGUUCAGCUAUUUGCCGGUGAUCUGGUUCAACCAGCUGUUGCAAAAUGGAUAGAGCUUUCUGGUAAUUGCCAAGUGAAGAUUCAAUGUCCUCUAAAGAAGCAUAACAGGAAAAAACAUGGAUGCUUCAAUAAAAACUGGUAAAGAGGGUUCCUCCCCCCCACCUCAACAAAGCAUACACAAGCUACAACGAGCAGUCAAGUACUGACCCCUUUCCAAGUCAACUUCAGCCAAUGCAGAUAAAAUAUCCACUUUCUCCAUGGUGUCACCCAACUGCUGUUUUUCAGCAAUUGCCCUCGCAGUAUCUAGCAUUUUCCAUGCCAAAUCCAAAUCCAAUUCCGAUUCAUCCAUGUCCUCAUUUGCUUCAGCUUCAAUCACAUCAUCAGUGUCGCUAUCGUCACUAUCCUGUCUUUUUCACCUGAAACACAGAACGAAAUCCAACUGAAUGUGUAAAAGAACAGUUAACAAUUUAGUUUAUGAACUAUAACAUUGAUCGUGGAGCAGCUGUUAUGCACAAUUCACAACAAUGUGAACGAAAAUGAAAGAGAUUCAACUACACUGCUCAAUUCAACUAGAGGUAAAUAAUCCCCUCAGAAUACAUACUGCCAUCCUGUUCCGAAUUGCUUCAUACAGAAGCAACUGAAGAUUCCCGAGUUACAGCACUUUUGGUCGGCCCCUCUUUGUUCGAGUCUUGCAGAAUCUCACCAUCCUUUUCCGGAACAGAAACCAGAGGACCAGUCUCCUCUUGAGCCUUGCACAGCAAUGCGCGUCCAUACAGAUAGUACACGUUGAGACAUGCGACUGCAAGUUCACCGUGAUGCAAACCCCUAGUAUGAAAAAACCUUAAAUGGUUAAAUGUAACUUCAACUACAAAUGGCAAUUCACUAAACCUCUGUUUGAUGGGUUUUUUCCCCUAAUUGCACUUUGAAACUAUCUUAAUUACUUCACAUAACAUAAAUUAUAAUAAUGCAAGUUAAUGAAAAAAGUUAAAAUUUUUAUUUUUCUUAAAAGAAAGGGAAAAAAAAAGGGGGUAAAACCAAACCCUGAAUCAUAGAUUUAGUUUAUUUCCUCAUAAAUUAAAUAAAAAAUGGAAAAGAGAUCAGAUGAAGCAGAAAGCACAAGGUUUAAACCUGAUUUCAAGGGCACGGCGAAAAAAAUGGGCAGCUUGGGUGAAAUCGUUUUCUUUAAAAGCCUUGGAUCCUUUCUCCGUCAACUCAUCUGCCAACUCCAGCGCCUUCGCUCGGCCAAUAUCCGGAGCAAUUCCACAGCUUUCAGUGUUGUUCUCAUUAUUGCAUGUAGACUCGGUACCUCCACGAACCGCAGAUUCGAUAGUGGCUUCUUUUGAACCUUGCACUUCUAGGGUUUCCACCUUUUUCGGUUCUGGGGUUGGCUCCGUCAUCGUCACCGGACACCGCCGUAACUUCUUCUUCAGCCAUCACUUUUUUGCUUUAAUAUUUACCGAAAAAUACAAAAGUAUGGAUAACCGAAAACAGGUCUUAGGCUUUCUCUUGCCCGCCUUCCAGAAAUCCUUUCUGGCGGAAAAUCGAGGUUUGAAAGGAAAGACUGAAACCUUGAACGACAAGCUUUGAAGGAGAGAAGUGGAGGAAGGGUACUUUCGUAAUUGAAAGGAAAAAGGUUUCUUUUUUGUCAAAUUAUUAUCAGUGUCAGACGAUUCUGUCAUUUUGAUUUCGAAAGGUAAGGCUCUGAGGAAAUGAAAGCAAAAAAUGGCUUCCACAACUCUUUCUCUCAGUCCGCUGUAUGUUUUUAUAUAUAAUAUAAUGCUUGCUGGAAUUAUAGAAUCUUGUUGAUGGCAUAUAUUUAAGAUGAUAAAAGGGAGCUGAUAAGAUAACAAUCUUCCAAACAAAACGAUUAUAGUAUUGUAAUCACUUUACUAAUCGAAUUAAAACACUUUCUGGGUUUCAACAUUGAUUAACAUUUUACGAAAAGAAAAGAAAAUUUUUAUAGGAUGAAUAGUAUUCACAAAGCAGUUGUUGUUCAGGUCUCAUCAUUCUCGCCGAGAUGAAUUACCCAACAAGCUGUUUGUUGAAGGUGAGCUCUGUCCACUUGACCAAUGAUCUUGUACUGAUAUAGGAGACCUAUUUUUUACUUCUUCUAAUGAGGUGGUUAAACAUUCUCCUUCCCUUUGCUUCAACUUCAUCAGUCUCCGGCUUCCCACAUCGGACAUCUUUGUUGACUUGUUGAAUGAUUUCUCACUUUCUUCAUCUGAGGAAGCUGCAGGAGACUCUAUGCACAUGCCUGGAACCCAAGCGCUGAGUCUGAUGUGUUCUAGCUCUUCCGCGACUUCGAUCAUGGUUGGCCUCAUGUCCCGAUGAGGAGCGAGGCAUCUAAAUGCUAGCUCAGCCACAUUAUGAAUUGAUGAAAGUGUCCAAGCAUCUCUAUGUGGAUCAAGGUAUGGAUCAAUUAUCUCAUCCACGCAGCCUCUUCCUAUCCUAUCGAUAGCAAGUGCAGCUAAGUUUACCUCAUUAUGAGCGCGUGAAAAGUCAACCACUUUCAGCGCAGUUAUUAUCUCCACAAGAACCACCCCAAAACUGUAUACAUCACUUUUAUCUGAAAGAUGGAAGUAUUGAUGGUAUUGAGGAUCAAGAUACCCUGGUGUUCCUUGAGGGGCAGUUGAGAUGUGGGAUGAUUCAGCCAUCCCAAGCCUGGAAAGACCAAAAUCAGCUACCUUUGAUCUAUAGUUGUAAUCCAAGAGAAUAUUGCUAGACUUAAUAUCUCGGUGAAAAAUAGGCGGAUUCACGGAGUGAAGAUAGGCAAUAGCCUUAGCAGUUUCAGCAGCUAUGGUGAGCCUUACUGUCCAUGGAAGUCCUGAACCCCUCUCUCUUUGUAGAUGCUGUGAUAAAGUUCCAUUAGGCAUAAACUCAUAGACCAGCAUAGGUUCACCCUCCUCCAUGCAGCAACCUAAGAGGCGAACAAGAUUUGGGUGACUGACCGAGGAAAGGAGCUUAAUCUCAUUCAUUACUUGGUCAAUACUAUCAGGAUCUCUAUAUCUGAACCUUUUUAUGGCAACCCAGUCAUCGCUGUGGAGUUUCCCUGCAUAAACUGUACCAUAGGCUCCAGUUCCCAGUCUCUGUUUAUCACAGAAGCCAUUAGUAGCUCUUUCAAUUUCUCUAUAGGCAUAGCAAGGAACACUUGAAUUGCCUGCGGCUUCGGAUAUAAGGCGCUUUGCACUCAUCUGUUUGUUGAUGUUAUUAGAACGCCUUCGCAAAUAGAAACAUACAAGAGCCACAAUACCCAUUAGCAAUGCCCCACCAACAAGCCCUAAGAAAUUAAACAAACAACGUGGUCCAUUAGUUACUUAGAGAAGAGAACACAGAAUCUGUAAGAGGGAUGGAUGAUGAACACAUUAAUACAAUUAUUUUGAAUUACAGCCAAAUUACCUCCAACCAGAACACCAACUCUUGUAGUUCCCCCGCAAUUGCCAGAAAUGUAUUUUGAAGCAUUGCAGCUAGGCACUGAUUAAUGUUGCAUUCAGAAACAUAUUGUCAAAAACUAUAGGCAUGAAACCGAUAAAAUAUGCAAAAGUCGACUUUCCAAUAGACAAGCACCGAUCAGAAUCAAGAAGACAUUUGUGUAUUUGUUGCUAAAAUAUUUUCAUAAAUGUAGUGCAUAGUUGAUAGGAAGAUCCUUCCAACAAGUUGGUUUACCAAAGAAGUUAAAUUUCGGCCAUAUUUCCUAAAUUACAAAUCUUUAUAUUUUAGGAGGUAUGAAUUACCAUAUCCAAAUCUACUUUUAUGCAUGCCCUUAACUUCCACGAGGGAGCCAAGUCAAAUAUCAGACAAAGAUGUAAGGCAGAACAGUACAUUGUGCCCAAGAAUGGAAAACUCCAUUAGUUUUACCAAGUCAACAACGCUGUUUUUUGUUGACGUUGACCUCAUUGUUGCCUUUCUUGAAGAGGCUUAGAAUUAUGGAUUAUGAUGAAGGUGAGCGAUCAGUUGGCCCUCACAGCCAAUUUUAGCCACCAUUGAGGUUGAACAUUCAUGACACGCAUUACCGGUAAAAAUAAGUUUCAUCCUUUUGGUGCAAUUCAACCACUAAAUAAGAUGCAACUUUACAAGCAGAAACUCUUGAUCUUGGUUCGUAGUAAUGCCAAAAUUUGAUGAACCAUAGUGCAAAAGCAUCAAAUUGUAUAUGAUUUCACCAAGAGAUCAACUCCUACAAUUCUACGCCAUUUUCUUUUCAAAUGUAGUUAAACUGUUAAAGCUACCAUUUCUAGAGAAACAUUACUAGUCAAGAAUCCCACAAUAAUUUUGCUCUAAAAUCCAAGUCAAAAAAAAAAAAAAAACAAACCCGACAAAAUAAAAUAACAAGUAAAACAAAAUCUUAGACUUGGAAGCGUUGACUAACCUCUCCGGCAACCACCGCCUUCUUUGAAUCCAUCUCCUUCAAACCCUUCCUUGCAAAAACACUUACACCCCACCGUCUUGUUACCAUUCUUGACGUCCGUACGGUUAGCGUUUGGGUCGCAAUUACAGUCUUUAACCCACCAUUCCAAUUUAACUCGUUCCAAAUCCACAGAGACCGCUGAGUUCCUCGCCGGGUCAACUACAAUAGCGGUCGAGGAAAACAAGAAACGGCACUGCGUUUUAUUAACUUCCUCGAAACUCAACAGCCGGACGCCGUCACCACCGCUGGAGAAACAGCUUAUGUUGUCACUCCUAGCAGCGCAAGGGCCAGCUUGAAACGACCUUUCUAGAAACAUUGGCCUGAUUUCACAAGGACCUGGUAAGGGGUUGGAACAGUUUUGGAGAAGGAGAGUGUUGUCCACCGAGAGCGCGUAGUUCUCACCGGAGAGAACGGCGAGUGAAGCAAGCGGUCGGUAGCAUUUGGCGGGCAGGUCGAUGAUGAUGUCGUUGGAAGUUAUGUUGAGGACAUGGAAUUCUCCAAUUCCGACCCCGGUCGAGUUGCAGUUGAGUUGGAUGGGGCAACCCGGUGUGAACCCGAAUGGAAAGGGUAUGGGGCUUGAGAAAUUGCUGGUUUCGCAGGAGCCUUGGCACUUGUUGUUCUCCGAGUUAACUGAGUUUGCUCGGUAGAUAACAAAAAGAAAUGUUAUGGUUAUUGAGAAGGGUAAUUUUGCAUAGCACGACAUCAUUUUCGAUUCUCAAAGAACAAAACAGAGCAACAUCAGCUUCCUACAAAAAAGAAAAACAAGCUUGAAUAAGAGGAACAGAGUAAAAAGUAAAAUAUGUAGGUAUUGAAAAAAAAAGAGGGAGUUAUUGAAGGGGGGGGAGGGAGUUAAAGCAGAUCGAUUGAUGGCGUUGGGAAGUCCAUCAAAACUCAAUAAAUGCUAAUACAAAGAAAGGUCAAUGCAUUGUAAAUUCGGGAAAUUUCUUUCAAAAAGGAAAUUUUUAAUGAAUGGGCUUGGUUUAGUUGAGAAUAUUUAUGAGCUUACCUUGUUAUUGUUUCUUCUUCAAUGGCUGCAACAAUUGCCUCUUCUUUAUUCCAAUAACAGAGCUUCAAAUAAAUAUCUGAGCUUUGCUAACGCUUCUUUAGAAGUACUUUGAUUUUGGGUUUUUGGUUUUCAUUUCAAAUCAAACAAGAAAAAAAAAAAGAGAGAAUUUUGGAGAAGAAGAGGAAAUGGGAAAUGAGUUGAAAGUUUUUAAAUAUAACACAGAAAGAGUUGUUAAAACUCCAUUGACAAGUGUAUAGUGAAUUAAUUAUUAUGAAAUAACUGUUUUACCCUUUUAAGUUCGGGAGCUGAGGGAAAUGAUUAGACGGAAAUGUCCUUCGAAAAGUAGGUUAAAUUACGGAGAUAGACCAAACCAGAUAUUAUAUUGUGGGUCAGCACCGCACACAAUAAAAAAGAGGGUUUCGAGUUUUGACUAAUAACAUAGAUAUAUAUAUUUUUUAAUAAAUUUAAAUACAAGUAUAAAAACAAUAAUAUUUUAGCAAAUUUUAAAUUGUAUUUUUUAUUUAAUUAAUUUUUAAUUUUAAUUCAUCGAUUAUGUUUUAUUUAUGAUUUAUAUUAUAAACAUUGACGUAGAAUCUUGAAUUUUAAUCCUAUAAAUAAAAACAUAACUCUUAAAACAAUUUUUUUCAAUUAAAAUCCAAUGAAAUUAGUCAACGAGGGCUUAGUAUCAUCAACAAAUGGCGAGACUCUAGGUUUUAAGUGUCUAGAUUCGAAUCUUAUUAUGCACAAUUGUCAUGUGUAAGUAUCUCAAUCUUAACAUGUGUAGUUUUUAUAAGUGGAUUUUGUUAUAUUAUAUUUUGAUUUUUUAUGCAUUUGUAAUUGUAUUGGUUUGAUUAUACACUUCAACUUAGGUUAGUUUUUCUCUGUUUUUCUUAUUUUUAAAUCAUUUUUGUAUUUGGGUGGGUUGGCUUUUUUUUUAUGGUUUGAAACCAUUAAUUUGAGCUAAAGAACAGUUCUACCAGUUCAGAAUUUGUUGGUCAACCCUAAUUCUGAGUUGCUCACUCUAAAACCAAUCUAACCCCUUUAACUAAAUUAAUAUAUUAGUUAAUUCUUGAUUCAAUUCAGUUUUGACAAUAUUACUUUAGGUGCCAACAAGAGGUUUAAUCACGGCUCCCUUACAUAAUUGGCACUCCUUCCUUACUAUAAUAAAGAUAUACUAGAUUAUCACGCACUAGGUGAAAAAUUAUAUAAUAAAUAUAUUUACUAAAAAUGUAUAUAAAAAUAAAAAGAACCUUAAAUGUAAAAAUUAAAUAUUUAAAAUUCGUUGUUUCAGGAGUUCAAAUUUUACUAGGGUUAAAUAUUUAUUGAUUUUAUAUAAAAAUAUAAAAUGAAAAAAAUAUCUUAUAAAAAUUAAGAUUAUUUUAAUAAUCUCGUAACAAAAAAUUAUUAUGAUAAUUUCUCAAUCGAACUCUAUUCAAUUGGCUCGUGACAUUAACUCAUUUAAUAUAAGUAUAGAUAUAAAAUAUUGUUAUAAUAAGUAUGUGGCCUCUUUUUUUCAAUUUAGUGAUACUAUUUAAUUUGUUAUAAAAUAAGUUAUACUGUUUAAUAUAUUAAAAGUGGAUUAGACUUUGAUUUAGCGGUAAAAAUUAAGGUUUUUUUUGGUAAAGGUAGAAACUUUAAUUUAAUUUCAUCUAAUUAUAUUUUAUUUUUAGAUAAGGUUUCAUUACUUUAAUGGUGAUAGGUGAAGGUGAUAAUUGAUUAUAAUUAUAAUUUUAAAAUAUAAAUAAUAAAUCAAAUCAAAUUAAGCUCAAAAUUUUUAUUACAGAAAAACUAAUCCAAAUUGAGGACUUGUCUUUUUCAUUUUUCUAUUUGGAGAAGAAGUCAAGAGGUUUAAAAG
rnacentral:lncRNA from 1 species